rnacentral:lncRNA from 1 species
AAGCUUGUUAGCAUUGGUCAUAGAAAAGGAUGAUUUUUAUAUCUUUAAUGAUUUAUGAGGUCUAACCAUACUAAAUACUGCAUGGUUAUGUGGUAAGAUGUCAUUAUAUGGAACAAUAAACUGACCAAUUUCUCAUCUUGCUUACAAGCGUAUCAAUAAAAACAAUUAUGACAAGCCAAAAAUACCCAUCUCCACAUCUUCAUCAUAGUUCCAGGACAAUUGACAUUUGAAUCUAAUCUUUUAAUGGAUCUAGGUUUAGAGAAAGAAACUAUCCUGAGAUAUUUUAUUUGCAAUCAUUUUGUCAAAUUGCACUAAUUUUUAUGCCCCCAUAACAAAUUCCUAAUGAAGAAGGUGAGGCAUUAAUUGUUUUGAGCGGAAGUUCUGGAUGAAGUUGAUCACUAGGUUGAGCUUAUGUUUUAAAUCUUACAUAUUGAAGGUAUUUUCUGAUGCUGUAAAAUUUGGAAGGUUCCCAUACUCAUGUGUUCAUGUGUUCAUGUCCACUCACGCUUAUCUAUGUACAUGUAUGCAAUGUUACUCCUAGUUGAAGAGGGAUAAUCACACUUGAAUGCUACAGUUGCUUGUGUAUGGAGCAUAUAAUUGAUGCUGCAUGAAAAUUAAUCAAGUUAAUUAAUCUUGCAAAAUGUCUACUUAGUUUGCUUGCCUGUUUGCAGUCCAAGCGUCUUCCAUCCAAGGAAGCAAAAUCUCUGCGGUAUGCUGGCUUCUCUCACAGCUCCUGGAUCCGCGAGAUGCAGCAAGCUUCGGAUAAAUCAAUAAUCAUCAGCGAAAUCUUGGAUUCCAGGACUAGGAACCUUGUUUCUGUUUCUAGAAUAAGUGACUAUGUUCUGUCAAAUGAGCUAGUUAGCAUGGCAUUAGCUAUGGUAGCUGAAGACAAGCAAAUUAACCGGGUUCUUGAAGAGCUUUUUGCUGAAGAGGUACUUCUUGUACUUGUUCAAUAUUCUAUAACAAGAUGGCACUAAACUUGUUCUGUGGUAUAAUUGCAAAUAAAUUUUAUUUUAGUAGGAUAUUUAACAACUCCGACUCUGAUUGGUCACUGGCCCUGCCAUAAUGUCACUGAACAGACCCAGAACUUAGCCACUUGAACAAAUUUUAUAAUCCUUUCAUUUUCGUGUUAGAAUACUGGCACCACUUUUUGAUUUGCAGUGACUGGUAAGAGUUCGUCAUUAUACUUUUACCAUGAACACAAGUUGAAUCUAACUUUUGUCAGCAUAAUCACAAGUAUUUUUUUCCCUGUUUUGGUUAUUGUCAGCAUUGACAAUCCUGGACACAUAUUCAUAUAACUGAAAUAUUGCUCGUAUGUUACAGGGCAAUGAGCUGCGAAUACGGCCUGCAGAAUAUUAUUUGUAUGAGCAAGAGGAACUAUGCUUUUACGAUAUCAUGGUUAGGGGUCGUGAGAGACAGGAGAUUGUGAUUGGCUAUCGCCUAGCCAACACUGAUAAUGCGGUAAUUAAUCCUACACACAAAUCAGAGAUCAGAAAGUGGUCCCUUGAUGAUGUCUUUGUUGUCAUCUCUACUGGAGAUUGAAGUCUUAAAGUAGUUUUUGGUAAGUUUCACUGUCUGAUUUCAGCUGUUGUUUAUUUGUAACACGAGUCCUAGUUGACCGAAAAGAAGGAAGAUAGUCACGGAAUCAAAUCAAAAUGCCAUUGGUUCAUACUAAUUCUAUCUUUAAUUGUUAUGUCUGUAUAUGUUUGUACAGCUGAUCACCUGCAUAUCUCUAAAUUUUUUAUUGCUGCUCUAAAUUAUUCAUGGAUCUGUUUGGUAAGUUUAAAGAUAAUUCUUGCCUUGUGUCUUUACUUAAUUUGGUAUAAUUACAGUGCAUUGAUAGUGAUAAUAAUAGAAUUCUACAAGUUGAAAAUCAUGUGACAAAAGCAUUCUUGGCAAACGGGUAGUGUUUGGUCCCAAAAUACACCAAGCGAGCCAAUUGGUCACAGGCCUUUUGGACAUAGGUUGGCUGGGUUUGGAUCUUAGUUUGUAUAAUGCCAAGUGAAAGAAAUUCCUAAAAACCAAAUUCAUAUAUUCUGAUGGUCUCUAACCUAAUUGUCAAGUAGGUGUUUCAUGGUUUUAAUAGCAUGAUAUUAUGUUUUACAAUGUUCUAAUGAUCAAAAUCUAGUAAAUUUAAAUCUAUUCAUGUUUUAAGAUGUAUAGAUCUUUAAAGUGGAUUUUCAAUUUAUCUGUCCUAUCAUGUUAUAAAUCAUAAUAGUGCAAUUGAUAUCCUUUAUUCUUGUAUCAACUUGAUGUAUCAAUUAGUGACCACCUAAGUAUGUGAAUUUUAGUUUUUAUGUUGUUUUUGUUAUGAGGGUGAGCUGUGGUGCAACAAUAAGGUUGCUCUAUUGCAAUCUAGAUGUGAUGGGUUUGAAACAUGGAAACAACCUAUCUAUAUGAAGGGACAUGGCUGCAUAUAUGUAAACCUUUCAUAGACUCUGUAGCGAUAGGAACCCCAUACACUGGACCAUGCUUUUAGGAAUUUUUUUAAUUAUGUAGAUUAUAGCUAACAAUUUGGAUUUUCAAUUUAGAUAGCCUAUCAUUAAUUUUCUUUAAAAUCAUUAAUACCAUUCUAGAGGAGCUAAUGACACAUGUAUAAUAUAUAUUAACAUAAUGCAUUUGAUCUCUCUCUCUCUCUCUACACACACACACAUACAUAUACAUAUAUAUAUACACUAAAUACACACACAGAGAGAGAGAGAGAGAGNNNNNNNNNNNNNNNNNNNNNNNNNNNNNNNNNNNNNNNNNNNNNNNNNNNNNNNNNNNNNNNNNNNNNNNNNNNNNNNNNNNNNNNNNNNNNNNNNNNNNNNNNNNNNNNNNNNNNNNNNNNNNNNNNNNNNNNNNNNNNNNNNNNNNNNNNNNNNNNNNNNNNNNNNNNNNNNNNNNNNNNNNNNNNNNNNNNNNNNNNNNNNNNNNNNNNNNNNNNNNNNNNNNNNNNNNNNNNNNNNNNNNNNNNNNNNNNNNNNNNNNNNNNNNNNNNNNNNNNNNNNNNNNNNNNNNNNNNNNNNNNNNNNNNNNNNNNNNNNNNNNNNNNNNNNNNNNNNNNNNNNNNNNNNNNNAUGUAUAUAUAUAUAUAUAUAUAUAUAUAGGGAGAGAGAGAGAAAGAGAGAGAGUUACGCCGAAGUGCUUCUGAAAAAUAUUUAGCUCCAGAUACUUUCUGGUGGAAAUUAAUCCAGGUUAUCUUAAAAAAUUAAAAUCAGCACCGUUGAUCAUGAUGUAUGAUAUAUGAAAUGGCUUAAAAAUAAAAAUCAUUUAUUUUGAAACACUCUAACUUAUAGAUAUAGUCGACAAAAAUGAACGAUAGCAAUAUAACUAGUGGGUAAAAAUGUAAAAGAAACUAUUUAAUUUAUAACUCCAAACUAUUGAUCUUGAUCUAAAUAUUUUAAAAUACAUGAAGGUUAAUUUUAAUUAUUUACAUUUGUUUUAAAAUUAUAGAUUAAUCUAAAAUAUGACAUUAAACUUUGAAAUUAUUAAUUUUGUUUUCAUUUGAUGCAUAUGUAAAAAAAUCAAUAGUUCACGAUUUUUGGUUUCUUGCCAUAUUAUAUUAUCGUAGAUUAUAACCAGUGGUGUCAAUUUUUAGAGUCCCUUCACUGACUUUCACUAGGAUGUAUCUAGAGCCAAAUACUCUUUGAAAUAUUCUGGCCUCUCUCUCUCUCUCUCUCUCUCUCUCUCUAGUUNUAUAUAUAUAUAUAUAUAUAUAUAUAUAUAUAUAUAUAUAUAUAUNNNNNNNNNNNNNNNNNNNNUCUCUCUCUCUCUCUCUCUCUCUCUCUCUAUAUAUAUAUAUAUAUAUAUAUAUAUAUAUAUAUAUAUAUAGAUAUAUGUUUGUGAAUUGUAAGGAAUGUCAUCUCUUACCCCACAUUGAACUAUCUUUUCAUAAGAUUUUUUUCCAUUUAUAACUAAAUAUUAAAACAAAAAGAUCUAAUUAUGCAUAAAAAAGUAUUGGUAAGUAUUAAGCACCUUUCUUUCAUAUGCUUGAAGCAAUGGCAUCUGUCUUAAACUAGUUUCUUUUGAUUAGACUCCAAGGAUUAAGCACUUUUCCAUCAGAUCCACAUAGAGCUGCUGCAAAUUUAGAUCCUAUUUGGAGAGUGACUAGAUAUUCAUAUGUUAUUUGUCUCUGGAUUCCUCAACUUAUUGAUAUUUCAACUUGUAAUCAGCCUCGUUAAUUUUCAUAGUCCCUUAAUUUUACCUUAAUUUUAUUUCUAUUCUCUCCAGCAAAUCCCAACCAUCCUUUAUUUUACAUCUUGACCUUGACCUAUGCUAUGGAUAGCAUUCUCGAGCGUACUACUAUGUUAUUUCUGUGAAGGUAACCGAGGAAGGUUUUUGCCACCACUUGUCAGCAUUUCACUAUGCUAAAAUUAUUCUAACAAUAAACUGCUGUAGUUCUUUUUUUUUUUUUGCCCUUUUUAAGUUAUUCUUUGAGUUAACUCAUUUAUCUAAAAAAUGAAAUUAAUUUUGAUUGCAAAUUUGAAAGCAAGCAAGCUUCAUAACUUAAAAAAGCUAUAAUAAUUUAGAAUUAGCUUAAGUCAUGUCUAUAUAUUAGAUGAUGAAAUAACAUGAAUUUUAUAUGAAAGCCUGAAAGUUACCUAAAAGUUGCCUGAUUGAUUUUCAAGAUGGACAAUUGCUUGCUAUUUGAUUUUUUUUCCCCCUUUGCCUUUUUUGUUUUUGUUCUGUUCUGAAAAUUGUUUCGUUUUGGGGGGGCAUGGAAGGUGGCCUCCUAAUUACAUCGGCGGCAUAAUGUACAUAGGAAGCUCAAUAAUGACCAUUUUAGUGAUAUAGGUCUCAACUUUGGUUCUUCACAUAUUGAUGGCAGCUGGGUCACUGACUUUAUCUACUGAUGGCACACUUUUAUUCUAAUCUGGAUUCCAUGUACUGCCAUACAAUUUCUUUUCGACUUACAAUAACUACAUUGCCAUUGUGAUACACUAACACAUGGAGCAGCUCUGACGUGCCUGUAUUUCGGUAUUCGCCUUUGAAUCUGGAUUUGGAUUUGCACAAGCCAACUUUCCACCUCUUUUCCCCUCUACAAGUGGAAAUUGUCAAUGUGGACGCCAUUGAUCUCAGUGAUGUUCGGUAUACCUCCUCAGUGUCUUCAUUGUCCCUGUAAAUUGGAAGGGAUCCUAAUGGAGUCUGUUAUUAGACUGCCUCCAAAAGUCUAAAGUCACUCAACCUUCAAUGAACUCAACGGAGAGAGCUUGGAUUUGUCUCAUAAUAAGCUCAAUGACAGCAUCCACCAAACAUUUGUGAAGCUGAAUGAACUCACCAUAUUGCAAGUUGGCAACAAUGAGCUUGUGGGUCGGAUUCUAGUUGUCAGAUGCCUACCAUGAGUAUUCCAAGCUCUUAUGCUAAUAACAAUGGGAUGCGCAGGUUUCAGAUUAGGGUUUCAUGUAGUCAAUGACAACUAAUUGAGCUAUUGGAUUUUUGAUCUGAUUGGAUAGUCCAAUUAAGUUCUAAAUUCAAAUAUUAGAAAGAUUAGUUAAAGGAGAGAAAAACUAUUGUAUAGUUUCUCCAUCUUCCUUCCUUAUAUUAUUUGAAUUUUUUUUUGAGAAAGUUAGAUCAAAGACUAAAAAGACUCGAGAAAGAAUACUUUCUAUGUUUUAUCUUAUUCUUAUAUCACAGUAUUUGAACGGCAGAUUUCCUUGUUGAACGAUGGAUUUCUUUGUAUACUUUUCAUUAUGAUUAUACGCACGAUCUGAAAAGUUUUUUAGAAGAAAAUAUGCGAUUCAAUCUAUAGAUCCUAAAUUUUUCAAAUUUUGUAGACUUUUCAAGAUAAUUUUCAAAAUCUGGAUUGACAUUAAGUUUUAUUUAACAUUAGUAUCUGAUUCCCAAAAUUGAAUUUGUGAGUUUAUAGAUUAAUAGAAUUUUUUAUUAGAUAUAUCCUCUUAUAUGGGCAUUACUUUUUUUUGAAUAUCAGUACCAGUUGAAAGCUCUUGAUAUAUUAUAUGUAACUAGCUUAGAAUUCCGUGCGGUGCAUGGUAUGUGAUUAUUUUUUAAAAAAAUAUUUUUAUAAAUUAAAAAUCUAAUAUAAUAUAAAAGACAUAAUAGAUGAUAUCAAAUGUUCUAAAUGAAAAUAUAAACUCAAAUUAUUUAAAUAAUAUGAUAUUAAGAAGUAACAUAAUCAUCUAUCUUUUGUUGAUAGAGAAAUCAUUUUUUGAAUCAAUAUUUCUAGUAUUAUUUAUUUUAGAAUUCUCAUCAUUAAGGAGAGUACGAUUAUCUAUUUGCAUCCCAUGCAUAUUUUUUUCUUCAUAGUCGUAUCAAUAAUAGAAAUUUCAUCCUCAUCUACUUCAAUCUGCAAAAAAAAAAAUAGUUAUCAAUUAUUAGAAUAAAAUAUAUAAAUAUAAUCAUCUAUAUAUAAAAAAAUAAAAAUACAUCACUCAUAAUGAAUUUUCAUCGAUUUCUUUUGUUUUUUGAUUCGUUGCAUGUAUCGUUCGAAACUAUUUUAAGAACAGUAAUAUUUUAAAGCCAUGCGAUGCAUUGCAUGUAUCAUAUGCUAUAUUUUAGCAUAUAAACCCCAUGAGAUGCAGGGGAUACAAUUUUUAUGAAAUAAUAUUUUUAUUUUUUAUCUAUUUUAUUAUAUAUAUUUUAUAUAUAUUUUAAAAAAUAAUUAAAAAAUAAAAAAAUAUUUACGCAUGGUGUGCAUUAUAAGCUAUUGGAUAAAUCUUGUGAAGAUUCGACGAUCUUAAUUCCAUGAAUCUCCUUUCUAAACCCAUCAUUUCUUAUAAUUUUUUAUGUUUAACUAUUUUUAAAUUCUUUCAUCUUUUCUUUCCCUUCUCCUUCGAUCCUAUGCUCCCACACCUCUAACUCUCCCAAUGACAGCAUUGACAAUAUUGCCCGCCUGCCAUCAUUGCCACUAAUGGCAGUAGCAUCUUCGAGAUGGAGAUCAAAGAGGUUUCAUUAAGGGGAUUUUCUUUUCCCCUGAGUUGAUAAGAUUUUUGUUGUUUUCGUUAAGAGGCAAGAUGUUUUUUUUUGUAGGAGCGAUUGUAUAAAUAUCUUUUUUUAAUUGUUUUUGAAUAGUUUUAUUUAUAAAAAAAAUCAUAUAAAGUGUAUUAUUUUGCCUCAAUUUCUCAAUUAUAUGCACAGUUACAUAGUGAAAAAUAACAAUAGUUAUUAGAAUCUCACAACAUUGAUCGAAAUAUACAUAUUUCAAAGUUAUUUGAAAAAAAAAAAAGAUAUAUGAUGAAGAAUGAAUCAAAUAAAUAGUAAUUUUUAAAUAAUCAUUUAUUAUUUCUAGUCAUAAUUACAAAUGUGGACUAUUCUAGUUAUUAAAUUAAUUUCAAAUGAUUCAACUAUAAAGCUAAGUGUACAACUGUGGUUUCUCAAGUAGUUCAUUUUAAUGGGAUCAAGUACCAUUCGAAACAUCGGUUCGGUUGAUCCUGCAAGCGCUCGAAGGAUCAACUUAGAUGCUCCUUAGCCUGAAACCCUAAUAAUUGCGAGCCCGAUCUAGCCUGGCCCAGCAUAAUCCCUUCUUGUCCAACUAUCAAGAAUCAUCGGGAUCUUUCUUGAAAUCCUAAUAAAUCGGCAUUAAGAAGAUGCUGGUGCUCGCAAUCUCCAAUAUACUCAUAUCUCCUCUUCUUGUUUCUUUCCAUUUCCUCCCAGUUUGAUCUCUCAUCGCUAAUGCAUUCUUUUUUGAGCGCAGGUCGUUCCUCAUCCGUCCAGAGGAGCUACCCAAGGUUUUCCUUUUCUCUAUUAUCCUAAUAUACCUCCAUGUUUUUCUAUCAUUCCCAUAUUCCCCCCAACAAUCGCAUGUUAUCCUGUCAACGGGUAGACAAUAAAUAUGCUAAUAAAUAAUGAUGGUUCUAAUGUUGGAAAAUUUUCUGUUUUUUCCACACCAUGCACAAAAUAAAGUUUGUUAUUAUUUUAAUCAUUUUUAAACUUUUUCAUCUCUCAUUCUCUUCUAUAUAUAUUUUAAAAAUGAUUAGAAUAAUAAAAAAUUAUAUUUUGUGUAUAAUGUGGAUUAUAGAUUAUCAGAUAAAUCUUGUGAACAUCGACAAUCUUGAUUUUAUGAAGUCUCUUCAUAAAUUCAUUAUUUUUUAUUAUUUUUAUAUUUAAUUAUUUUUAAAUAUUUUUAUCUCUUCUUCUCCUUCAAUCCUCUUCUUGCACAUCUCCUCAUUUAGUUAAAAAAAAAAUCCACUUAUUUUGACAGUAGGUUAAUUGGGGUCCGACUCGCUCUCCCCAAGCCGAGUCACGAUCCGCUCACUCGCGGCUCCCUCCCACUUUCCCCAAAACCUACGACAUCUCCCCAUACUCCCUCACCCUCUGACACAUCCACUCCGCCUCCUCCCCUUCCCCCAUUCUCCUCUCCGUCGCCGCCCCUAUCUUCGCCGCCCCCACCAUCCCGUUCUCCUCCACCACUAUGCCCCGCCAUCGGCUGCACCAUAACCGCCGCCUUGCUCCGCACGAGGGCCUUGAGGUGCGCAAUGCCAUCGUUUCGAUCUCUCGGAUAGCGAUCGAGACUCGGGAGGAGGCAACUCACUCGACUCCGCUCUUCUUCCUCCUUGUCUCCCAACCUCUCUUCGAUUCCUCGAAUCCCUAAAGCUCUUAUCCCCAUCUCCCCCUUGCCUAAAGGCUUCCCAACCCUCUCUCUGAUCCUUCGUGCCCCCCUUUUUCGCCGUGCGCUAUUACACUGCUUCUCGAGGCUUAUCGAGGAUGUAGUGCUUGGCUCCCUCUCCCUUCCUCAACACGAAGGGGCCGAAUAGGGAAGCUUGGGUGAUGAUUUUUUUUCCAUGUGGGAAGUCUAUCUUCUGCUUUCCUAACAUACACAGCUCUUCUUCAGUAAGGCUCUUCUUCGAUAAGGGAGAGAAAACCAAAUGAAAAUCCGCUCCAUCCUCCCAUGAUUUUACUCCAUGCAACAAAAUUUUUUUUUAUCCAUAUAUCAAAUGGAGACACACCAAUGCAAAAGCUCUGUUUUAAUAUAUAUACUAGCAUGUAACCCGCACUUUGCGGUAGAAUUUAAUUUUAAACAAAAUAAAAAUUUAAAAUAUUUUAUCAUUAUAUAAUUUUUUUAUAUAAUGUAAUAUAUAGUAUUUUCAUUAACUGAUGAACUUAAGUUCAUAUUAAUUUUCAACUGCCAUAACCUCUUCAUUUAAACCGAAAAUACAAAUACCAAAAGAUUUUAUUAGAAUCUAUCCUAUACAUUAAAGAAUCAUGUUAAAAUACAACACAUCGGUCUAAAAAUGUAAUGAGCCAAUUCCGCAUCUAAUGUUAUAAUGAGUUUAAGAAUGGCAGUUAGAUAGAUUUUUUCGAGUAUCCAAUCCAUCUCGAACUCUAAUAGGACUCGUUUAGCAAUACUCAAACAGAAAAAGAUGGCUUAAGAGACAGAAUAUAGCUGAUGGAUAUUUUUAAAUUGCAUUCUAGGGUUAGGUUGUAAUAAAAGUUUCUUAACCUAUUUAUUCUAUUUUUUUAGCCAAACAAUCAUUUAUGAAGCUAAAUUAGACCACUUGUUCUCAAAAAUAAUAAGUUUUCUAAAAAUCUAAUCCUCCUUCAAAGUUUCAAAAGGUGGAAUAGUUUUAUUCUCUAUUGAUUCCUCCAACUUAUUUCACUUAAUUUAGCUAAUUUUGCUUUCUUCUUUCGAAACCUAAGUACCAAAUAAGACCUUAAGCAUUCAUUGAGAUGAAAUAUUAGAGCUAUUUAUCCUCUUUUUAUACAUUUACUAACAAAUAACCAGUGCUACGCAACAUGAUUCCAUUAAUUCACAAAAAAAAAAAGCAAGAAUAUAGUAAUAAGCAAAAGCUAGAGUUGUAUUGAACAUUAGAUGCUAUGUUAAGAUCUACAUGGUAUAUAAAUAAGAAUUACUACUAUACUUAUUCUCUAUUGAUGAAUACUUGGUCUAUAUAAUAAAAAAAUAAUUAAAAAAUUGCAUUACUCUCUCUAUUUCAAAGAGCACAAAGAGUAUGCUGAUUUGGAUCAUAGCAGUCAUUAAAUAUAAAUCAGUUGGAAGGUAUAAGGUUUCUAUAAAAUAGAAAGAUUUUAGAUGAAGCAGGAUUUUUUUUUUUUGUCAUUGGCAGUAGAAGAAUUAGGGACUAAAGUAAAUUUGUAUUAGAAGAAGCAGGUUCUACCUAAAAACUUUUAAUCCAAACAACCAAAUCCUAGAGGUGAGAUUUUUUCUCAAAAGUAAAUUUCAGCAAGUAGUCCCUUCAUUUUUCUCAUCCCUUCUCGACAAAGCACAAGACAAUUCUCUAAAUCCCUCUAAAAUAAAUUAUUGUAUAUAAAAGAAAUCUAAGCUAAAGCAUCCAAAAUAAACAAAAUUUGAUCUUUAUAAACCAAAUGUAUAACAUAGAUCACAAAAUCUCACCAUCACCAAUGCCAAACAAUCAUCCAAAAUAAAGCAACAAAACAUACCAAUUAUUUGCGAUAGCCUGAUCCAAGAACAUACUUAACAUACAAACAAUAGCUAUACCUGCUCAAUCAAAAAUAUUCUUUGUAAGUCAAUCAAAAGUAUUUACCAUCAAAAAAAGAAAAAAGAAAUAUAAACAAAACUCUCUCAAUAGAAAGAAUGGAUAGAUGAAUAUCAAGAAAACAUGCCUAGUGAUUUUAAAAGAUGACAGAAGACUCACCAUUUCUUUAGAUUUCUCUUAUAGAAGAAACAUGUGCAAAAGGAUAGUUGACAUCAUCAAAAUCUUCUUUCAAAAACUAUAAAUAAAAAAAUAAAGAUAAAUUAAUUUGGAGGCCACCUUUAUACCAUAUUAUUUUGAAAUAACCUUACAACAAAACACUUAAUCAAGAUUUAAAAAUAUUUUAAAAAAUAAAAUGAACAAUCAUAUAUCAAGAUAGCUUAUCCUUGAAAUAGGAAGAAAUAAAGAAGUGUAUAUGGCUUCUUUGCUAUAAAACAUGCAAUAUCCUUGGAGAGGAUUUUGUAUCAUGAUUGAUUUUCAUAUCAUUAAUUGAUAACAAAGUACUCAGUCAUACAUAAAAUUUUUUAGUCUAUAAUAAUUUUAAUAAUCAAUUUAAAGAAGAUAUACCAUAAAAUAUCUAAAGCAAAACUCAAAGUUAUUCUAGUUACUCCAUGUGAAAUAUAAUCAAAUAAAGAAUCCUGGGUAUGUCUAAUUUUUUCAAAGCUUAUCUUCCUCUUUUUAGUAUUUUCACUCUUUAAAAUCCUUUAUAAAUUUAAAUCAUUAACAUGCAUUAUGAUUAUGAGAAAAUAUUUAAAAUAACCAAUAGUAAAUAUAAUCUGAAUGGCAAAAUUUGAAAUUUAAUAAAUGUAGUUUUGCAUAUUUAUUUUUCUAAAUGCCAAGAUUUAGAUUUAUACAGCUCUAUAGCUUUCUAAACUCAAAAUUUAACUAUACUUUCAAAUUAAACCUAAUUUAAAUGAUAAAAAUUUAAAUUUAAAUGGAUGUUGUUUAUUAUGAUGGCUACCCUAAGCAACCUAUCAGUCUUAGAUAUCAGCAUAAAUUAAAUACAUAUAAAGCUAUAAAAUAUUUAAUCUAUUACUCAUUCACACAGAUACUUCAGACUAAAUAACAUGUGAAGCUACUCUACUUUCUUGUAUCAAAAAGAUAGCAAACUCAGCAAUCAAGAAAGAGUGCAGCUACAAUGAAAGUGAUUUAAAGUUUUACAUGGCAAGAAGGCUAGUUGAACUCUCUAUGAUAGGUGAUUCCUCCAACAGUAACAACUCUAAUAUAUCUUGCUACAUAUCUGGAGUUACUUUUGCUAUAUUCUUUUCCUGCAUUAUCAAAUUAUAAUAUCAAACACAAAAUUAACAACUUAAAGUUCUCAAAAAUUUCAUUUCAACAUUCAACAAAACACCUGGGAUGUAUUAUUGCAAGCACUUACAGGCUUCAUCCAGAAAGCAUUGAGUUUUCUCCCUACAAAAUGUCAGAAAAAAAAGCAAAAUAUCCUCAAGCAUAAUAUGGGUGAGACUAGUAAAUAUCCACCAGGACAUAAGCAACCAAUAGAUCUUUAAUAUCAGCAUAAAUUAAAUGGAUAUAAAGUUAUAAAGUAUCAAACUUUUGCUAUUUUUUAUUAUGAUAAAUAUAGCAAGACUGCUAUAUUCCAUCCAGGAAAAAAAAGGCAAAUAUAAGAAGGAAAUAAUAGGAAGAACCAAAUACUACAGUGAUCUGAAUCAACGAACAUUAUUUGUUAUCCAUUAAAGAUCUGAAUGUGUGUGAGGAAUCAAAAUUCUUUCUAUAAGGACUGCAUUAAACCAUGAUUCCUGUUAUUGCUAAUUGAGAAUAUGAUACAUUUUUGCCGAUAUAUAUCUUUAUCCUUGUUAUUGCUAACAUCAUUGAAUUAAAAAAAUUUAAAAAGGAGAGAAAAAUUCUUUAAACCAUAGGUGGAAACAAUGAUAGCUCUGUCCUAAAAAUGUGAGGAAUCAAACUAUAUAGAUUUUUUUUAAAAAAAGUUUGAAUAAUUAAAAAAAUAUAUAUUUGAGAUGAAAGAAAUCAAUUGAAUGAUACAAAAAAUAUAGGACCUUUUGCAUAACAUUAUUUCAAAUAUUUUUUUAUAGCAACAUGUACAUAAAUUUUCUAUGCACCCCCUAUUAACUUAAAAAUAUUUUCCUGAUGCAUCAAUCUUUUUUUUUUAAAUAUGUCAGGAACCCAUAGAAAUCCUAUGGGUCCAUUUUUUUCUCUUAAAACCCUAAUCUAUCUCACCUAUCCACUGCCGCCAUCGCUCCCAACACACUCCCCUACCCCUCCGAUCCCCCCACCAAUGCUCCCCUUCCCUUAUUGCACCCCCCCUCUCAAAACCCAACAUCGGCCAUCAAAUCCUCCCAACCCCUCCGCUUCGGUGCCCAGUGGCCUCCCUCGGGCUUCAACCCUAACCCAAACCCAACGCCACCCCUCACCCCCUUCCUUUCUCCCCCGUCGCCUCCCACCCGGCCCCUUCCGAUCGCCCCGACCCACAGAUCCGCCGACCCUCGCCCCUCAUCGCUACUGCUCCUUUCUCCCCCUUCACCCCCUGUCCGGCCCUUUUCCACCACCCCAAUCGAUAGACUCAACUGCCCCUUGGCCCCCACCGCCGCUCCUCCUUUCUCCCCCCUUGCCCCCCAUCGCUGCUCCUCCUUUGUCCCCCCUCGCCUCCUGCCCGACCCUCCCCCUUCCUUUCUCUGCCCCUUGCUACCCUUGUCUUCGCACCAGCGCCCCCCCCACUUCCUUUCCUAGCCUCCGGCACCUCCUCUGCCACUCGCCCUCUCUUCUCUCCAUCGGUAUCUACCCCAUAGCUGUCUCCGAUGUCCUCCGUGCAGUCGACAUCCUUCAUCACAUGGCUAUCCCCCUCCACAUCUCCUCCAUCGCCUUCCUCCCCAUCAGUACUGGCAUGAUGACGCUGGCCUCGAACUGACCCUAUGCCGAGUGACGAACGUGCUGUGCACCAUAUUUCGAUCCAUGGCAGCAUUUUGAUCUCUGCACGAAUCGAUUCAAGGUUAUUUUUUCUUUCCUCAUUUUUUUGUUCUUCAUUCUAAUCCUAACAUAUUGCCUUUUUCCUCUUCUCGACUAUCCUUUUUUUUUCUUUUUUCAUUGUCUUGUUCGAUCCAACUCCUCUUGUAUUUUUUUCUUGCUCUUCAUUCCGAUCCAAACACUAUUCCCCUUUUCCUCUUCUCAUCUUUUUUUUCUUGGUGUUUUCUUCUCAGAUCCAACCCUGUCUGCAAGCCCAUCCUAACCCUAACCCUAACUUGAACUAUAAACCCCCUAACCCUAACCAGAUGCCUGAUUCUAACUCUAACUCUAACCCUAACUCUCAACAAUAACUAAUCCUAGCCCUCUGACCUCAACCCAAAACAUACUCAGCCCCCUGACCCUAACCCAAACCCUAACCGGAUAACCAAACCUAGCCAGACCUUUAGCCCUAACCCGAACCCUAGUUGGACCUCUGACCCUAACCCUAACAGCAAACAGACUUCAACAACCUGCUAACCUAAAUAUCCAGAACUCCAUUCUUGCAUCCACUAAUCCGACAAUCCGAAUCUAGACAUUUUGGAUCUACCAACCUGUUAGCCCGUGACUGUGGAUCUGGUCCAUUCUAAAUCCGUCAACCCGCAUGUUGUUUUUCCCCAUCCAACCCAUCCAUCUCUCCUUGUUCGUCAAACCUGUGUUUUUUUCCCAUUCCCUGCAAUGCUACUAUCCAGCAGCAAUCAUGACUUCUUUUUUCUCUUUACUGGAAGGCUGUUACUUAGUAGCAAUCAUGAUUUUUUUUUCUACCUUAGAGGGGCAUUAAGGAAGGUUGCCAUGGCAUGGCAGUAACCCUCUUUCCCUCUACCAAACCUAGGUAGCAACCUUCUAUCUUUUCCUUUUCUCAUAUGAUGUUGCUAAAAGGAGCGGAAGGUUGCCUAAACCCACGCAGCAAUCUUUCUCUAUUUCUGAUGAGAAACAAAUUAUGAUAAACUAAUAGCUUCAUACAAACUGAUGAUAGAAUAAAAGAAACUCAAAAAAUCAGUAAAGAAAUCUGAAAAGAAUUUAGCAAAAUACUUAGGACUCACCUCUCCCAAUCAAUUUUUCUCUAUUAUUUUUUUGCUAAAUACCUAGGAAACACUCUUUUCAAUCCCUUAUCCCUGCAAAAAACUAAUACAGCACCUAGAGAACAAUAAUCAGAAUAGAAGCCAAAAAAAAACUAAGCAACAACAGUAUCAACCUAACCUUUUUCUAUCCAGAUCGGUGUUUUCUGUCUCUGAAUCAAAGUUUGAAGGUUCCAACAUAUAUAGCAUGGUUGACCAAAAUCGUGUAAUGAGACAAUCCAUCUGUGCCGUCUACCUUCCCUCUAUUCUUUGUUCACAGAAAACUUCUCCCUCCAUUCAAAGCGCAUGAAACUUCUUUUCUUUAACCCUCUAUUGUCUAAUCAGGUACUAAGGCACGGAUGUGUUGCAUCCCUUCCAGCUCCACAUGUCCUCUCUUUUUUUUUUCAUUUCUUAUUCCUCGUAGCUGAGAUAUAGCCUACGUGGAUGCUACGUGGAUACUAAUGUGGCCACACGAAAAUGUGAAUGCAACAUUCCCUGGCGACUGCCGCAUGCUCGGAUGGCAAGGAACACGUACUUAUUUUUAUUUUUUCUCUCUCUCCUGACAUCGAUGGCUGUGUACGGAACGCUUUGUUUAUAACUUUUUUCUUUGAUUCUUUUUUUUCUUCCUAUUUUUUCAAUCAGGCUCUAAAGAGGAGUUCAGGGCUCGCCUUUGAGCGUGACACAUGUCGCUUAGGGGAAGAAUUCUGAACUCUCCUUUCACAUAUAUAUAUAUAUAUAUAUGUUAGGACAUACCGAUCGACCCUUUUCACACCGACUNNNNNNNNNNNNNNNNNNNNNNNNNNNNNNNNNNNNNNNNNNNNNNNNNNNNNNNNNNNNNNNNNNNNNNNNNNNNNNNNNNNNNNNNNNNNNNNNNNNNNNNNNNNNNNNNNNNNNNNNNNNNNNNNNNNNNNNNNNNNNNNNNNNNNNNNNNNNNNNNNNNNNNNNNNNNNNNNNNNNNNNNNNNNNNNNNNNNNNNNNNNNNNNNNNNNNNNNNNNNNNNNNNNNNNNNNNNNNNNNNNNNNNNNNNNNNNNNNNNNNNNNNNNNNNNNNNNNNNNNNNNNNNNNNNNNNNNNNNNNNNNNNNNNNNNNNNNNNNNNNNNNNNNNNNNNNNNNNNNNNNNNNNNNNNNNNNNNNNNNNNNNNNNNNNNNNNNNNNNNNNNNNNNNNNNNNNNNNNNNNNNNNNNNNNNNNNNNNNNNNNNNNNNNNNNNNNNNNNNNNNNNNNNNNNNNNNNNNNNNNNNNNNNNNNNNNNNNNNNNNNNNNNNNNNNNNNNNNNNNNNNNNNNNNNNNNNNNNNNNNNNNNNNNNNNNNNNNNNNNNNNNNNNNNNNNNNNNNNNNNNNNNNNNNNNNNNNNNNNNNNNNNNNNNNNNNNNNNNNNNNNNNNNNNNNNNNNNNNNNNNNNNNNNNNNNNNNNNNNNNNNNNNNNNNNNNNNNNNNNNNNNNNNNNNNNNNNNNNNNNNNNNNNNNNNNNNNNNNNNNNNNNNNNNNNNNNNNNNNNNNNNNNNNNNNNNNNNNNNNNNNNNNNNNNNNNNNNNNNNNNNNNNNNNNNNNNNNNNNNNNNNNNNNNNNNNNNNNNNNNNNNNNNNNNNNNNNNNNNNNNNNNNNNNNNNNNNNNNNNNNNNNNNNNNNNNNNNNNNNNNNNNNNNNNNNNNNNNNNNNNNNNNNNNNNNNNNNNNNNNNNNNNNNNNNNNNNNNNNNNNNNNNNNNNNNNNNNNNNNNNNNNNNNNNNNNNNNNNNNNNNNNNNNNNNNNNNNNNNNNNNNNNNNNNNNNNNNNNNNNNNNNNNNNNNNNNNNNNNNNNNNNNNNNNNNNNNNNNNNNNNNNNNNNNNNNNNNNNNNNNNNNNNNNNNNNNNNNNNNNNNNNNNNNNNNNNNNNNNNNNNNNNNNNNNNNNNNNNNNNNNNNNNNNNNNNNNNNNNNNNNNNNNNNNNNNNNNNNNNNNNNNNNNNNNNNNNNNNNNNNNNNNNNNNNNNNNNNNNNNNNNNNNNNNNNNNNNNNNNNNNNNNNNNNNNNNNNNNNNNNNNNNNNNNNNNUAUAUAUAUAUAUUGUGUGUAUAUAAAUUUUGAUGUUUUUUAUUGUGAGUUUUUUUUCUCUCUGAAAACUUUCUUGUUCAAAGCCCAUCCAAGAAAGGAGAACCGCGUCGCCGGCGUGCUUUGGUCCCACAUGUCAGUUUUUUCUUAAAGGUGAUCGUGCCUGUUUUUCCUUUAAAACUGGUAACUUUUGUUUGAAUGGGAUACGUCUUGUUUGGAUGGGAUGGUGAUGAUAGCUUUGUUAAGAAUUUUUUUUUGGCUCUGUGGCAUGUUUUGGAGCGCGGAGGUCCAAUGAUCCACGUCUUCUAAAUUAAACAAAAAAAAGAGUGCGCGACGGGACACCCGUGGGUGAGAUUGCGUGCACCCAGUCCAGUUGGACGCGGCAGCGGGCUGAAUGCCCCAAUCGUUUACGAUGGUGCGCACUCAUGCCUAGGUGCUGCGCAUCUGGAUGACGUACAGCCCGAUAUUAUUUUAAUAAUAAUAAAAAUAAUAUUAAUGCAUGUGAUUUAUAUUAAUACUAGAAUAUUAUUCAUCAUAUAUAUAUAUAUUUUUUAAGCAUGUAGUGCAAAAAUGUACGAUGGAUUGCAAAUCUUUAAUGAAAAAUUCAAAAAUGAUGAGGUGCAUGUGAUGGGCUCAAUGUUUUUGUUCUAAAAUAAAUUAUUACUCUGCUAUACUCCUACCAUCAAAAUAGAAAACUGUAGCUCUUGAUCUAUGAAAAAAAUGCAAAAAGAGAAAAAUUAAAUCUUCCUACAAAAUGAUUUAUGAGCUUGAGUUGGCUGAAGUGCACCGCAUAUGAUCUGAAAUUAGAUGAAGUAUAAUAUUGUCUCGAUUUUCAAACCUUCAUAGUGUAAGGCACUUGGGCUAUUGUGGACAUAAUAAAGAUCCUAGGAAUCCAUGGCUAGGCCGAGUGAGACAAAGGAUUAUCCUAGAUCAGUUUAUUUUCGAUGUAGAGAAUGCUUUGUCAUACUAAGAGCAUAGAAGAUUUAGCAAAAAUUAUAUUUUGAAAAGAAGGCUUAACAAUUAUUAUGCCUUGUUUGAUCGUAAAAAAUGUAUCUUAAAUUUGUUCAUUAAGAUCCCUGCUCAUGUAGAUAAUCUCUCAUGUAUUUGAUAUUAUAUGAAUUUAAUGGCAUGCUAUGUAUCAAUUAUUUAUUUAUUUAUUCAUUAAUAUUAUUACAUAUUUAAAUAUAUUGUUGAGUGAGAGUUCUAAGAUUGGUAGAACUUGAAGAACGUUCUUACCUAGAAUAUAAAAUUUUUGAGCAAAUUGUUAUACCAAUCUUGAAGAGCGUUCUUACCUAGAAUAUAAAAUUUUUGAGCAAAUUGUUUUAAAAUAGUGAUAACUAGACAUUUGAAUAUAGAAAAUGAUUGAGAGUAUAGUGAACUUUUGAUCUAUGUCUUAUAUUAGGUUAUUAUUCAGUUCAUUUUUUGCUUAAUAAUAAUAUAUAUGAGUGUGCAUAUAUAUAUCAUGUUGGAUAUUUUAUACUAGUAUUUAUUGUGUACUAUGCCUCUAUGUAGUAGUAUUCAAUAUGGUAUCUGCAUUAAAGAAUAUUGUGGCUGAGUUAAAUAGGGGUGAUAAGCUGAACGGUGAUAAUUAUGAUAUUUAGUACUAAAAGGUUCAGUACAUCCUUGAGGAAUAAGAGAUUCCGGAGACACUCAACCAUAUCAUGGCUGAGCUUAAGUAGAGUAUGUCUGCUCAACAUAAGAGAGAUCGGAAGGCUUAUUUGAUCUGAAAAAGUAAGAAUAGUAUUACUUGCAUCAUAUUGCUAAGCAGUAUGCAAGAUGAUCUCAUGUGUGAGUUCGAGUACAAUACAACUCAGGAAAUAUAGCUUAUUUUGAAAGAGAAGUUUGGGAGUACUUCAGCCACAAAGUUGAGAAGGCUCAGUAUCAAGUUUGACUCUUAUAAAAAGCACCCAAGUAAUACUAUGAGAUAGCAUCUUAGGAAAAUGUCAAGUAUGAUAAGGGAGUUGAAGGCAAGCCAGUCAUAUCCUCAUGGAUGAGCAAUAGGUUCAAGCUGUAAUCAGAUCCUUACCUAAGAACUGGGAGCAUAUGAUAAUAGCUAUGAUGCACAAUGGUAAUGUAAAGACUUUUGAUGAUAUAGCGCAUCAUUUGGAGUUAGAAGAUGAGCACCUUAAGGUAGCUAAAUUUUUUGGAUUCACUUAUAUGGCUGAAUCUAGCUUGCACAAGAGUCCCAGCUUCAAGUAUAUAAAAAAAAAGGUUAGAAAUUCUUCAAGGAAAAGAAGCAAGUAUUUAAAUUUAGUAAGGCUAAUUAGUAUAAGAAAGAUAAGCAUGGUGGUAAAAAGAAGGAUAAGAUCAAAAUAUGCAGCUACAACUAUGGCAAACUGUGUUACUUCACUCAUGAGUAUAUGGAGCUAAAGAAGGUAUGCCGUUACUCCAUUAUGUUAAAUUAUGCUUAUGUUUCUAGCGGUUGUUUGCUUAUUGAAUCAUAUAUUGUGUGGACUGUAAACUCGGGUACCACGGAUCAUAUAGCUAGAGACAGAGGAAUUUUUAUAAAGUAUCGUUGAAUCAGUCUUAGCACUAGAUGGAUAUAUGUAGAAAAUUCUGAAGUUGGAAUGAGAGGUAUUGGCACCUAUUAGUUAAUGUUAAAUGAUGAUCGUACCUUAUUCCUACAUGAUGUCCUAUAUGCACUAGAUAUUCGAUGGAACUUGGCUUUUGUUAUUGCCUUUCUUGGCUUGGGAUAUAACUUGAAUUUUUAUGAUACUUGUAUUGAUGUAUAUUUAGGAAUAACUUAUUAUGGCUCUGGAUAUUUAUUAGAUAGUUUUAUGGUACUGGGAGUUGAUUGCAGUGCUUUUAUUAAUUAUGAUGAUAGUUGUUUUUCAUUGAUUGUUUCUUUAAGUAAUGUGAAUAAUGAUGUGAAUAUAUGCCAUACUAGAUUAGGAUAUAUCGAACAAGAGAGAAUGAACAGAUUAGCUUGAGAAGGCCUAUUAGGCUCACUGCUAAAAUAGAAUUACCUGCGUGUAAGCAUCACCCAGUAGGAAAAAUAACUAGAAACCUAUGGUAAAAGAACCAUAGCAGAAACUUCAUUGUAAUUAAUCCAUUCUGAUAUUUGUGGUCUUAUAAAUAUAAGGGCGAGGUAUGGGACCUUAUAUAUUAUCACAUUUAUAGAUGACUUCAUGUGCUUUGGUCAUGUUUACUUGAUCUCCCAUAAAUCAGAAGCAUUAGAUUGCUUUAGAUGAUAUUUAAGUUUGGAUGAGAAUCAAUUAGAUAAAAUCAAAAUAUUAGGAAUUGACCAUGGGUGUGAAUAUCAAUCCGAGCAGUUUAGAAUACUCUGUGAUGAGAAAGGGAUAUAUCGACAAUCGACUAUUCUUGAAACUCUACAACAAAAUAUUGUUGCAGAAAGAAGGAAUAGAACACUUCUAGAGAUGGUUAGGUCAAUGAUGAUGCAAGCAAAUCUUCCUAUUUCAUAUUGGGGAGGUGCUCUUUUGACUAUUGCUUAUAUACUUAAUUGUGUAUCCUCCAAAUUGGUCCCUUUCACAUCUUAUGAAUUAUGGAUGGAUAGAAAAUCUAACCUAAGUAAUUUAUGACCCUAAGGGCCUGUUGCCUAUGUUUACGAUUUCUUUCACAAAUAUGAUAAAUUGGAUUCGAGAGGAAAGAAAUACAUCUUCAUAAGAUACUCAGAACACUCCAAAGGAUAUGUAUUUCACUAGGAGAUGAAAGUUGAAUCAAAAUUGAAGCACAAGAUGUCACAUUCUUGGAGAAUAUUUUUCUAGUAGGGGUGAGAUAUAUAAGGAUUUUCAAUUUUUCGAAUUGAAAGAUCCCGAUAUUGGUGGUGUACCUAUACAACAACUUGAGGCGAAUGAGGAAUUGCCUCAACUUUAUGAAUCUAGUGGGAGUGAUACAUUAUAUUUGCAUAAAAGCACUCAUAAAAGUAUCCCUCAUCAUCAUUUUGAUAUCGAAAGAAAAGCUUUUAUGAUAGCUUCGCAUGAUGAUGCUGAGCCUAAAAUAGUUAGAGAAGCUCUCUCAUGCCCUGCAAAGAAAGAGUGAAAGAAGGCAAUGGAAGAAAAGAUGGAGUCUAUGAAAGCAAACCAUGUCUGAGACUCAGUUGAUCUUCCAUCAAACCACAAGGUAAUUGGGAAUAAAUGGGUUCUCAAGAUUAAGCAGAAGGCAAACGGAUCUAUUGAAAGAUACAAGGCUCCUCUAGUGGUAAAAGGUUAUAUCCAAUAAGAGGAUAUUGACUAUGAGAAUUUUUUUUUCAGUAGUUAAGUUUGCCUCUAUUCAUUUUAUCAAUGUCAUCAUCGCAUAUCUAAAUUUGAAAUUAUAUCAGAUAGAUAAUAAGACAAUAUUUUUUAAUGAAGAACUAGAUGAGAAAAUCUAUAUGAAGCAAUCUAUAGGUUUUGUUGUAAAAGGCUAGGGGCACAAAGUCUGUAAGCUUCAAUGAUCAAUUUAUGGCUUAAAAUAAUCAUCCAAAUAAUGGUAUCUAAGAUUUCAUCGAGCUAUAACUUCUUAUGAGUCUAUAAUGAUCGAUGAAGACUAUUGUGUAUAUAUUAAAUAUUUUGAAGAUAAAUUUGUAAUUCUAUCAUUAUAUGUGUAUGAUAUUCUAUUGGUUGAGAAUUAUAAGGAGUUUGUUAUCGCUAUAAAAAAUGGUUGUAUUCAAAUUUUGAAAUGAAAGAUAUGGGAGAAGUAGUUUAUGUGCUUCGUAUUAAAAUCUAUAGGGAUCACUCGAAAAAGCUUUUUGCAUUGAUGCAGGAACCUUAUAUUAAAAAGAUCUCGGAAUAAUUUAACAUGCAAGAUUGCAACCCCAUAGACAAUCCUAUAGCAAGAGGUAAAGGUCUAAACUUUAAAAUGUAUCCUACGACUCUAGAAGAUAAGAAAGAAAUGGCUAAUGUUCCUUUGGAUUGGUGAGCCGCUAUCAAACUAAUCCUAAAAAAUUACACUGAAAGAUGGUCAAAAGGAUCCUAACAUAUCUUAAAGGCACUGCAGAUUACUCCUUAUGCUAUCAAGGCAAUGAUUUGUGCUUGAGUAGUUAUUUAGAUGCUAAUUGGGCAGGAGAUCUAGAUGAGCGCAAAUUGAUUUUACGAUAUGUGUUCUUGCUUCAUAAUAAUGCUAUCUUUUGGAAUAGCAAGAAACAAACAUGUACAAUCUUAUCUACGAUGGAGACUGAAUUCAUUGCUUGUUCAGGUGCAAUAUAGGAGGCAAUUUGGCUUAGAAGAUUUUUAUAAAGUCUGGGUGUUGUAGCUAGUGCCGUGGAACCUAUGAUAGUUCUUUGUGAUAGCCAAGCUACCAUACAUAUAUGAAAGAUCUUAAGUAUCAUGGCAGGAUCAAGCACAUUGAUACUAAAAAUAAUUUUGCAAGAGAUAUAGUAGCGCAGAAGGAAGUGGUCCUAAAAUAUAUUUCUAUGCAUUUGAUGAUUGCGGACACUUUUACUAAACCUAUUCCUAAAGACACAUUCUUAUCUUAUGUUGAGUCUCUGGGAUUGUAUAGAGUUUAGUAAGAAAUUGUAUUAUCAAGGAUCACUAUGACUUUAAUGUACAACAUUUUAUUAUCAAUGAAUUAAUAUUUGUUUGUUCAUAUUAGUUUCAUUUUAUGAUUGAAUGGAACAAAUUUUUUAUAAAACUAGCACAGACAUACAUACAUUAAAAGUACAUCACCAGGCAUAGGUCAGCUUUCUCACGUGACCGACCAUCUUAGGCACCGGAAGAGCAAUCUGAAAUGAGACACUAUGAUAUUAAAUGCUGUAAGUACGAUAUUACUAAUAUGCUUGCUCGACAUUGAAAGAAUAAGUUAAAACAUGCAAAAUUACUUUAUGGAUCAUGAAUGUCAUCUUGAUUUGAGGAGAUGAGGUCCAUAUUUAACAUAUAUAUAUGCAAUUCAUGGACCAAACAUGAUAGUCCCAUAAUCAUGUCAGCUUGGGCAAAAGCCAGUUGCGAGUACUUGAUUAGGUGCUAUUAAUAAUGAGUUGAUAAAGAACUCGGACUAGUUGCAUAUGAAUGUAUUAUAUGAAAUUAUAACCGAGUCAAGAUCUGUAUGGUGUUAAUAAUUAGUAGAUGGAUGUACACUCUUUCAGAAAAACCAUCAUGGUAUGUAAUUCAUAUUACAUAUUUUUAGUUCGACCCAUAUGGGAAUUGAGUGAUCAAAUAUACUAAUCUAUAUAUGCUCAUCGUAUGAGUUCCUUUUUAAGGGAUAAUAUUCAGAACUAGCCUCAAUUAGUGCCCUAUAUGACUUUCAACUAUGUUUUCAAAAUGAUGGGCUAAUGUUUAUUACUUUAGCAUAUUUUCAAUGGUAAUAAAAUAAUUUAGUCUAAUGAGACGUGUCUAGAAAAAUAGUUGGUCUAAAACUAAGAUGCAUAAGUGCGAAAGGAAGACCAUUGUUGAUUAUAUUUACCACAUGUAUUCACUAGUUGACUAAUUAUAUCACCUUGAUAUGGCUUAAGCAUAAUUGUGGAUACAUGGUGAGGGAAAGAAAGUUAAGCAUAGCCUUAGAGGAAUUGGAUAUGCUUUGAUUGAUGUAACAAAAUGUGUUGCGGCACGGUGAGAUACAAUUAUUCUAACAGUUAUUUUUUUUUUGGAUGAUAGCUACUGUGUUUUCCCUAAUAAGUACAUAGUAUUGAGCUCCCAAGUAUAGAUGUAGUCGCGGGUCAUACAAUUCAUUUGCUAAGUAUGAAUGGCAUUAAAUUUAAAUGAAAAUUGAGAGUUAUUUUUAUACAAAUAUUUUUGUAUCUUGUUAAGCUCAUCAUGUGUGAAUGCGAGAUGUCGGGUUUUUGUUUUGCUUGAGCCGUUCGUGAUGGACUAGUCUGAUCAAGAUCUAAAUUCAAAUAUUAAAGAGAUUAGUUAGAGAAGAGAAGAACUACCGUAUAGUUAGAGAAGAAAAAAACAAAAAAAGACUCCCAAAAAAGAAUACUCUCUAUUUUUCAUCUUUUUCUUGCAUCAAAGCAUUUGAAUGGUAGAUUUUUUUGUGUGCUUUCCAUCACGAUUGCAUAUAUGACUUAAAGAGCCUUUCAAAAGUGGAAAAUGCAUGAUUCAACCUACAGAUCCUAAGUUUUUAAUUUUUAUAGACUUUCCAAGAUAAUCUCCAAAAUCUGGAUUUACAUUGAGUUUUAUUCAACAUUAACCAAGUUCACAAUCUGGCAAUGACAUGGAUAGUGACAAAUGGAUCUCACGGAAGGAAUAACAUCAAGAUAUCUAGUUGGCUUGGGUUUGUCUGAGAGCUGGAAUCACCCACGAGUUCGAUUUUGCUAACUAACUCCAAGACAACAUGCUCUGAGUUUGGAUGUAACAAGAAAUUUACGGAUUUUUCUGAGAGAUAGCAAACCCAUACGAGCAUGUCUAUUAGCUAACGGAUUGAAAAUUCUGUAGUAAUUAGACCUAUUUACUUAUCUAGCUCGCAUCUUCUAAGGACUGCCCAAAUCCCACCUCAAGCCCUAGCCUUUGGGCUACAGAAAAUUUUAAAAAGUUUUUUUUUUUAGUUUUUCUCCCACAAGAUUUGAAUAGGCAGCUUAAUCCAUGAAUUUUAUAGGGUCAUCAGCCCAAUCCUAUGAAAAUAUCCAAAUAAGCCCUAAGUAACUUUAUUUAUAAUAUGAUUAUUUAUUUUUAUAUUUUAAUAUUAUAGUAACUUGAAAGUUAUAUUUGUCAUGUAACCAAAAAAAAAAAAAAAAAGUCAUAUCUGUCCAAAGUUCUUUUCUAAUGUUUUACCAACUCGUUCAAUUUUUGUUAGGUGUGUGGUCCAACUCUUUUGAUUCAAUAAAUUUCUUUGUACAAACAGUAAAAGCACUUCACAGCUACGAGCUGUGAGAUUAUAGAAAUAACGAAGAGACUGCCUGAUAAGUGAUAACUUUUUGUGACUUCUUUCGCCAGGGCUAUAUGGAAGGAUUUUAAGAUGAGAGGAAGACCUUCGUCUAUCUCCUCCAUAUCUUCCUUAAAAGAAUCCUUCUCGCCUGAAUUGGUUUCUAUUAAAACCUUACAUCCAGUGAGAAACUUGAGAGUUCUAGUUGGGAAGAAAGAUUCCUAGUUUUGGCUCGAGUUGGAAACUUAGAAAACCUUUGCGAUACCUGCUAAAAUUUCUCGCUCUUUUGCUCUAUUUUAUAAAUUGUAACUUCUUUAUCUUUGGUUAAUAAUACUUGGUUGGCCUCGGUACUCUCUUCCGGUCCACGACAAGCCAUAUCAAAGUCUUUAUUUUAAUAAUAAAUAAUUCCAAAUCAUAAAAGUUGAGUCGAUAACGAAUAUCAUAACUGUUGUAAUGGCCGACAACAGUUAUGAUAAGCUUCAUUGUGACGGAAUAAUAUAGUUAUGGAAACCUUAGAGGGAAGGAAGGAGUAAAGCUAGCAUAAUGUCAUUAUUUUUUCAAAAACCUUUCAACUCGAUAACAUGUGCUAAAAUACAAAUGGUCCUGCUGCAAAAGGGAGCUCUCUCACACCUCAACCAAUGUGCAUAAGGUGCACUAGAGCCUUUUUUUUUUUGGUGGAAGAUGAAAUGUGACAUUACCAAAAAGACACUUCGGCCUUUGUCUUGCUGGGUGUAGCCAUUAGGUCACUUUAUUUUGCAGACUUUUUUCUUUUCUCGUCUUCUUAUUUCUUUGGCAGCUCCUUCUCCAAGGUCCGAACAAAGCCAAGAAAUUAUCAUGGGGUUGCAUUUUAUCCAGAUAAUACAUGCAACGAAUUCCAGAGGAUCUGGACUCAUUCUGUCAUCUCCACUGCUCUUCGCACCUUUCACUUGAGCAUGGGAUUGUAGUUGCUUCUACUUUCAAGCAUCAAAAUGAGUUUGAAUAGCAAAAAAUUACCAGAUAAACAUAAUAGACAUUAAAAUAAGACCAUUAAAUUAUAUUACAAAGACAAUAAACACAAAAUAAGAUAAGCAACAGACAGAUUUCUACAGGGAUAUAAAGCUAGCAGUAGAAUGUUCAGACAGCACAUUUUGCUUUAUGGAGAAAACUUCGCGUUUUACUUCUAAUUUAUGUCCAGUAAAUUGAUCUUGAGCUCGGCACUGGCAUGCACUUCCUUUACCGUCUUGUCAUACUCAUCUUCUUCCUCCUCUUCUUGGUCCUCCUCUUCUUCCUCCUCGGAGUCUUCCUCAGCCCAUCCAAAGCCUGGGAUGGACCUGGAUGCCUGUGCAGGAGUCCUUGCUUCUCCAGCAAUCUUCAUAAUGUCCUCAACACUUUGGAGUGAGAAAGUAGGGGCAUUACGAUCCCUCCUGUAGUACACUGCCUGAGCUGAUUCUGUGAGCUCCCUUGGCAAGUUUCUCAAGAACCAUGGGUGGUUCUUUAUUUCCUUUAUUGUGAUCCUCUGUAUAAAGAAACACAAACCCAGUUUCAAUAUUGUUGGAGUAAUUUCUGAUAUUUAUUUAUUCAUCAAAAACACAAUAACAAGCAGAGUGAGCAUUUAACAGGGGUCUUUCUAAUAUGGUUAUGAGCAUUACCCUGGCUGGGUUAGCAACGAAGAGACGGGAGAUAAGUUGCCUGCAAUCCCGGGAUAUGUGAACAUACUCUGGUAUUUUGUAUUGAACUUGCAUGACUUUCUGCAGCCAGAGAAGGUAAGAAAACAAGCAAUAUAUGAUCAUUAAUCAAUUUGUAAUAACGUCAAGGAUCAAAUAACAGAAUUCCAAAGUAAAGAGCGUUAGUUGACAAACUGUUGAUGAAAAGUUGGCGUUAAGAAUAAGUAAUGAGGUGAAGGGAAGAAUAAAGAUUGGAGACUUAAUUACUUGAAUGGUUUUCCGUAAAUUCCUGGGGUCGUUUUGGUCCUCAAAUGGAUACGCUCCCACCAGCAUCACGUAUAGAGUUACUCCACAUGACCAUACGUCUGCAAGCUACACAACCAAAUGUAUUUUCAAGUCAAUUUAGUAAUUUAAUUGCGCUUAAAACAGAAGGUUCAAAAACAAAGUUUAAAAAAAUCACAAUUAUAUAAAAGGUAAUCGUCAAAAACUACUGCCAAAACCGCUCGAAAGAUAUUUCUUCAUUAAAUGAGAAAAAAACACAAAAAGGAUGUUGAGGCAUAGAAUACUGGACUUUGAUAAAAGGAUUGAAUGCUUUAUCUUUCUUCUUUCCCUCCAUUAUCAAUCAAAAAUAAAAUAUAUAAUGCUCAAAAGCAUGCAAUGAACCGGUUCCGAGGUUGCUAUGUGAUAGAACAAGAGGGAGAUAACUAGAAACAAGCAGAUUAAGGAAGUAUUCAGCACUGAAUGGAUCAAAUAAGGAAAACAACUCAGGAUGGUGUAGACUUGUGAAGGACCUGAUCAAGGCGAUCAUGCUGAGUAUGGUAGCUCAGGUGAGGAGUUGGAAGAGAGGAUUCAAAAAUUAAAAGAAAGAUAACUAAAACUGUAACGAAUGCUAUGAAAAAAGGUAGAAAAAACAAUGAGAUCAACCAUAGACACAAAGCUUCGAGAACUAUUGAUGCAUAUGUCAUUAGGUUUGUUGUUUAUGUUUGUGUUGCGGCCAACUCUACGUCAUCUAUUGCCGGUGAAAAGCACCUGCAAGACAAAGUCCUCACAGACUGAAGUUGUGUUCGACGGGGACCCUCCGAUGCUUAAGUCAAAGAGAGGUUGGCGAACAGCUAAUAAGAAUAUUAAGAGUGGUAGAGUUUUUGGUCCAGAAUUGUCUUACCUGUACUAUUCAUUUACCUCUCUUUUUAUACAUGAUUCUGAUGUAACCGUCGAGCACGUGGUCCCUGCUGUUUAUGCCGCUAAAUUAUCAGGCUAUAAUUGUGGAGUUAGUAGGUCUUUUAUUCUCACUAAUGAUCGUGACAUGUAGUUGAUAACCGUUCAUAACAGUUAGGAUAUGUUGAGCAGAUAAGCCGACUAUAUGUCGGUAAUAUUGAUAAGUCGGUAGAAGAUUCGAAUGUCCAUCGGCUGGUAACUCUGAUAUGCCGAUGGUCUUCGGUCGGAGGUUAAUUAAGUUGUCUGUUAUUGGUCGAUAAUCGCCGACUCUCGGUCGGUCAAUCGAUUGUGAGUCGACGUAAUAUGUUCAUUCGGCUAACGUAGAGUCGGAGUCGGGGGUCGGUUGUAUUAUUCCAAUAGUUGCCCUCCACUUUCAAGUUCAAGGUUGCUCCAUGUGCAUUUCAUCACGUGGCCUGUCACAUUGGACAAAAUGAGUUGUCACAUGUCACCUCGAGCCCCGACUUGACUGCUAGUCACUUUUGAGUAUGAGAGUUCUUCGGCUGUUUUGUCGUUUCGAUGGCUGCAAAAUCAUUAUUAGGCUAUCAUUUCGACAGGAUAAUUUGGUAUCAGACGUCUUUAUCGGACAUCGUUUCAAGAAGAUAAUUCGGCGCCGGACGAUAUGAUUCUGACUAGUAGAUUUUGAUCACGUGUCCGAAUGAUAUUGGGUCGGAGUUGUUCACACGGAUGACGGUGAGGUGGCACGAUUAGGAGCAGGUACGUCGAACCGUCCAAUCAAUGAUCGAUCUGGAUGUUGCCAUGUGUCGUCAUCUGAUGAGACUCUAAUUUGAUUGCUUCCAUCCUAGCCAUUGAGGGAUCCUAUAUACAGGGUCGCUUUCGGCCAGACUUUUAUUUUACAUUUCGUCUUCAUCCUCUAUUGCAAAAACUCUAUCGAAAGGUUGCCCCAACACCAGAAGAUCAGGGUUCCUUCUCCGCCUUUUUGUUUUUAGCUUUCAGGUUAAGUGUUUUUGUCCUUUCUUCUUGGGUCCAUCUCUUUUUUGUUCUCUUUAGUCUUCUUCUCCCAUGGCUAGGGCUUCUUCUUCUCAGGAUAGUCAGUCGGAGAAUCUGACCGAUGACUCUCCAUCGGGUUCGGAAGUGGAGGCCUCUUCACCAUCUGAACCUAAUGUUGAACGGCUCCGAAAAUAAUAUCGUAUCCCGGAGCAAUAUCAACUCUUUGCGCCUAGUGCCGAUAGUCGGGUGAACUCUCCUCCUUCAGGUCAGGUGACCUUCUAUGUCGAAAAUCUUCAGGUGGAUCUUCGAUUUUCGAUUUCGAAGUUCGUCCGGAAUCUUCUGAGCUAUUAUGGUCUCUGUCCCGCUCAAUUGGUACCGAACUCGGUCCGGCUUAUAAUUAACUUUGCUUUAUUGUGUCGGUUAAUGAUAAGUCAUAUAUUUUUAUAUUUAUUUCAGAUAUUUUUGGUAAUUUAUGAUGCUAACAUACUUUUAAAAAAAUCUAAUUUCAUAAAUAAAUUAGAUUUUUUUAUAAAAAAUAAUUUUAAAAAAUAUGAAAUUAGAACAUAUUUAUAGAAAAUAGAUAUCAAGUUAAUUGAGUAAUUUAAGCACCAAAAUAAUAAAAAAUUAUUGAGCAAUUUAAUACAUAUUUUUUUAUUUUACAGAUAAAAAAUUAGAGCAAACAUCAAGCCAAAAUAUCUUAAAAAAUAAAAUUUAUAGCCUUCGGUGCACGGUGGACCGACCACUCGAUCCACAGAUUUAGAAGCAUGAUCCACAGAAAAUAAUACACAAUGCACGAUGCGGUCUACGACGGGUGAAAGAAGUUUUUCGCGAAUGAAUGGCUGAUAUCUCUCCGAAUACGCGAUCGGACGGCUGGGAUCAUGUUAUCCCAUAUCCAGCAGUGGUGGCCUACUUCCAGUGCACGAUCUGAUGGUCCAAAUUGAUUUGAAACGAGAUCCAAUGAUUGCUGUCGAUUGCUAGCUGACAACUAAUCAGAGGAGAGAUUUUACGCAAUCCAAUGACCGAAAUUCCAUCCGAUGGUUAAUCUGACGGCUGUGGUUAUUCCCGAUUGAGAAUAGGAGAUCAAAUAUGCUGAUCGACAAUCAAAAUUCAAUCAAGAGAAUGAUCCGAUGGCCAGUGUCAUUUUCGAUCAUGAUAAGGAGUUUAUCUCCAUGUUCUGGGUAGAUCUUGACGGUCCAAGUGCAAUCUAGCGGCCAGAAUUAAACGUUAUGAGUUUAAUACGAUUUCUAAGGAUUUUAGGACUCCUUUUGUUACCAGAAAAAGGUGAAAAAUUUCACCUAUAAAUAGAGGAUCCGAGAAUAAGAGUGGAGAGAAGAAAAAAUCAGUGAAAAUAUAAGAAAAAAUUUUAAAAAAAAAUUAGAUAAGUUUAGAGAUCCAAGAGGAAGAAGAAGAGAAGUUAGUUCGCUCAACGGAGUACAAAGGAAGAAAGAGAAGUCAUCAACCAUCUUCUGGACAAGGCUGCACUGAUCAACUUCAAAUCUUUAUUACAGUUUUAUUUUAUUUUAUUAUUUUUUUAAUUUUUUUGUAAUUAAAUUUUAAUUUUAAUUAAUAAAAAAUUUAUUUUCUUGCACUUUAAAUUUCUGUCUUUUAUUUUUAUUGCAAGUAGAUGCUAGGAUAUAGUUAGUAGAUCUUAGUACCGAUUUAUUUUUAUAUUUUUUAAAUUUUUAUUAUUUAUUUUUAUUGCAAGUAGAAGCUAGGAUCUAAAUAGUAGAACUUAGUAUCUGAUUUAUUUUUCGUACUUUUAUUUUUAUUUUUUGACUUAAAAUUACUUUCUUCAAAUUUUUUUUUAUAAAAUCAAAAAUUUCAAAUCAAAAUCCUGCUUUCUCUGUGGAUUCGAUCUGACUCACUACUCUCUACAUAUUUUUUUAAUUUUUAUUAAAGUCAAUUAAUUUGAUAAGCACGAUGUCCUAAUAACAACAUCACGAGCAUAUCAAUUAAUAUCGAUCGAGCCUCAUCUUUUUUUUUCCAUUCCUUCUUUGUUCUUUGUCUCCAUCCAAAGGUCAAGGAUUGGUGGCUCUUCAACCUAAGAAAAGGCCUUUCUUUCAUCACCGGUCUUCCAUCAUCUAUUCACGGAUGGAAGAACCAAUUCUUCUUUGUUGCUUCUUCUCUUCCAUGGGGCUUCCCUUCACGUUGGGGUGAUCCGAGGAUAGGCCCCAACGAAAACAGUCAGAUGGAGGUCGACAAUCGGGAAGACUUCCAUCGAUUGAAGGACAUGGUGGUCCCGCUGCAAAGAGAGCUGAUGACCGAACAAGCUCUUUAUGAUGCUGGCUUUAGUUCGAUCACCACCUUAGGUAUAGCUUAGUCGAUCACUUUCAUUUUUAUUUUGUUUAUUUCUAAAUUGUACUAACUUUUUGUUCUGAUUGCAGCUAUGCAGCCGAGGAUGUGAGUAUCGAUCUCCGAUAUUCAUCAACAUGCUGUCAAGAAGAGGGUAGCAUCCGAGGCUGGAACUUUUCGACCAUCGAAGAAGGGUCGGACGACUAUAUCUACAUCGGUGGGAAAACCUGAUGUACCAUCAGUAUCGAUUUUUGAGCCGAUUUUGGCACUGUCAGCCCCGACAGUGCUUCCUGAAAUACCGUCUACUGAAGAUGGGGCGAUAAGAGAAGACAGAGUUGCCGCAGCAUCAUCGGCGGCUCAAUCAACAGAGGUUCGGAUCGAGACGGAAGUCGCGGCUAAACUUGAACAGUCUGCAACUGUGUCGGUCGUUACUUCGGUGCGACUUUCUCGGGUGCAGUCAAGCUCUAGUUUUCUCAUAUUUUCAAGCGCGAGACUGCCGACGGAAGACUGGAGAAAGGCACCGAUAACUUUGGCUGAUGACGGAUCAUUGCCACGACACUCCAUUCACUUCGACAUCAGGCUUUCUGAAGAUGAGUCGGUCUUGGCCAAUCCAGAGUUGGCCAAACAGCUCAUUCAAGCUGCCCUUCUUCUGACUGAUCGGGAGAAUAGAAAAAAUCGUACCAUCAUCGAGAUAUUUUUCUCUUUUUAUCUGAUGAUACUUGGGGUAAGUUUUCCUUCAAACUUUUUUUUGACUGAUCCGACUUAUCUUUUACUUUUAGUUAGCACACGACAUGUUCGACUUGAAAACCGACUACCGAAAGAUUGCAAACUUUCAUCGGACAUGGAUGGAUAAAGUGGCGGCUGCUAAUGCUGAAAAAGCAACUGCCCUUGAACAACUUCAGACGGUGACCGAGCGGAAGGCAAAAGCUUCAGGAGAAAGUUUUUUGUCUGAUCGCCGACCUUGAAUCUUCUGGAGCCAAACUUGAGUCGGUUUGUCAAGGCACCUUGUUUCUUGAGACGAGGAUCAAGAGCAAAAAGCAUUCUAUUCAUCGACUUUGAAGAGAAAGAGACGGGUGCAUCAUCGAACUCGAAGCCGAACGUGGAAGACAUCGGAUCAGUCUAGAAAGGUUAGCACUGGCCAAUGAAGAAUCGGCUUUCACAAGAGCUGAUGCAGAGUUGGCGAGAGCGGAAGCAGAGUCGGCAAGGGAGGCUCUAACCACGUCAUCGAGAACUUCAAAAAUUCAAAGAAGUUUGAAGAAAAGAUUCUCGAAGGUGGGUUCACUUCCUACUGUGUCGGAUACGAAGAUGGUCGAGAUACGGUCAGAAAGUUAUACCCGGAUCUUGACUGGAGCAGCAUCAUCCCUCUUGUGUCGGAAGAUGGAGCUGUUGAAGAAGAAGCUGCGUCGACUCAAGAUGGAGUACCGACAGCACCAGAAGUUAUCCAAAUCGCCGACGCUACACCAGAGCAAAGAGAUAGGGAUGACGAAUGGUGAUCGGUAUAAUCUUUUGUUUUCUGUUUGUAAUCAAAUACUUUUGUAAUCGAACUUCAGUCUAAUUUUGUAAUCUUCUUUUUUCAAUGAAUGAAAUUUUUUUUUCUAAGUAUAGACUCUCUUUUUUGUGUGUUUGUAAUAUUGUAGAGUAAUUAUUUAACUACCGAAUAUCAAUCGGCAAACCGAAUGUUCGAUAGUAUUUGUAGAAUCGUCCGUUAGUCGAAUAUCCAUUUGACAUAUUUUAAGCAUUAUGAUAAACAGUAAUAAGCCGAAUACCCUAUGUCCGACCUUAGUCGGGUUAGUAUGUUAAGUUAUUUGAUAAUCGGUGGCAAGCCAAAUAUCCUUCGAAUGACCGUAGUCAAAUCGGUAUAAUUUCAAUCUGACCUUAGUCGUAUUGGCAUAAUGUUCUACUUAGUUAAGACUAAGUCGGCAUAAUAGUCGUUCGAUUAGAGUCGGCUUUUACAGUGAAAAGCUGAGAUAUAGUCGGUAUCGAAAUAUAAUCAAUAUAUCGGCUUUUACAAUGAGAGCCAGAAUAUAGUCAAUAGUCGAUAGAAAUUGUCUGUCCAUCUGUCGGUCCAUUACCACUUUGUAGUUGACUGAAACUUGUGAUUCUAAAAUUCAAUAUUUGAAUCUGAAUAAUGUAUACACGGACAACUUUAUUGAUAAUAUAUUUUCACGUUGUCUGCAUUUCAUGUUCGAGGAAUGGUUACUCCUUCUAAAGUUUCUAGCCGAUAUGCAUCCGAUCGAAGUAUCUUCGUUAUUCUGUAAGAUCCUUCCCAAUUCGAAGAUAACCUUCUCUGGUCAAGAGGUCUUGAGACUUCUGCUUUUCUUAAGAUCAGGUCUCCUGGACAGAAGAUCUUCGACUUAACCUUUGCAUUAUAAUAUUAGGCUACUUUUUGUCGAUAUACUACCAUCCGAAUUUGAGCUUAUUGUCAGACUUCUGAAAGUAGAUCUAGAUCGUCUCUUCGACAUUCGGAAUUGGUCGGCUCACUGUAUUGCUCAAUCCUUGUUGAAGGUGAUUCGAUCUCAAGUGGAAUCAUUGCUUCUGUUCCAUAGGCUAAAUUGAACGACGAUUCUCCUGUUGGUAUACGAGUCGUUCGGUAUAUCCAUAAGAUCGGAUAUAAUUCUUCUACCCAGAGGCCUUUAGCUUCUUCAGUCUGAUUUUGAGUCCAUGUAGAAUUAUUCAGUUGGUUACUUCCACCUCUCCGUUGGAUUGUAGUUGGCCGAUUGAUGUGAGUUUGUGCUUAAUAUGAAAUUUCGUAUAGAACUCUUUAAAGUUCUGAUUGUCGAAUUGCCGAUCAUUGUCAGUGAUGAUGGUGUGUGGUAAAUCGAAUCUGCAUAUGAUUGAUUUAUGAAUAAAGUCCUCCAUCUUACUCUCAGUGAUUUGUGCUAGAGAUUUAGUUGCUACCUAUUUAGUGAAGUAGUCGAUGAUGACCACUAUGAACUUCCUCUGACCAGAUGCCGAAGAGAAAUGACCAAAUAUGUCAAUCCUCCAUUGUACGAAAGGUCAUGGUAUGACAAUUGAUGUUAACUGACUUGUCAGUUGGUAUUGUAUAUUUACAUAUUUUUGAUAUGGUUCACAUUUUCGGACAAGUUCAGCUGUAUCUUUCUUCAUGGUGGGCUAAUAAUAUCCUUAUCGUAAGACCUUGUAAGCUAGAGCUUUGUCCCAUAAGUGAUUUUAACAAAUACUUUCAUGAAUUUCUCUGAGUGCAUAAUCAGCAUCUGUCGGUCUCAAACACUUCAGUAAGAAAAGAGAGAACGACCUUUUAUAUAGUUGACCAUUCAGCAAAACAUAUUGAGAGGCCGUCCAUCUGAGUCAUUUGAUUUUUGAGGGAUCCACAGGGAGAGUCCCAUUAGUCAAGUACUGGACAAUUGGAUCCAUAACUUGGUUCAUCAAUGAGUUGUAGCACUUCCUCGACUUUAUCAAUACUCAAUUGUUUGAGGCAUUCGACAAAUGUCCGACCUAGCGAGUUGAAGGAAGUAGUUGCGAGUAAUGAAAGUGUGUCGGCUCGAGUAUUUUUAAUCCUUGGGAUAUGAAAGAUCUCAAAAUAUUUUAGGAUUGAUGUAAGAUCCUUCACCUUCUGAAGAUACUUCAACAUAAUGGGAUCUCGAGCUUCAAAUUUACCCUUGACCUUUCUAGCAAUUAAUUACGAGCCGGUGAAGACUUUCAGGCUAUCGAUAUCAAGAUCCUUGGUAAUUUUUAAGCCGAUUAAAAGUGCUUCAUAUUCGGCUUGAUUAUUCGAAGCUUUGAAAUUGAAUCGAAAAAUGUAUUUGGUAAUAACUCCUUCAGAAUUUGUAAGGAUGAGACCAGCUCCGCUGCCUUAUACAUUAGAUCCUCCAUCGAUAUAUAGCACUCAUGCCGACGUUAAGUCGGCUUCGAAAGUCAUGGUCUACUUUAUUGUGGCUUCAUCUUUAGAUUUAUUAUCAAAUAUUGUACAUUCGACAAUAAAGUCGGUCAGAACCCGCACCUUCAUUGACGGACAUGGGCGAUAUUGUAUAUUAAAUUCAUCGAGCUUUAUCGUCCACUUUGCUAUUCAAUCCGAUGUAUCAGAUCGAUGCAAGAUCGCCUUCAAUGGUUGAUCUAUCAAGACAACAAUAGGGUAUGCUUGGAAGUAUGGGCGAAGCCGCUGUGACGAUAUGAUUAGAGUAUAGAUCAUUUUCUCCAUCCUUGAAUAUCUCACUUCGACAUUAUGAAGCACCUUGCUAGUGUAGUAAAUCGAUCGUUGAAUUUGAUUUUUAUCUUCUUGGAUGAGUACCGAACUGACCGCUUCUGUUGAAGUUGUCAAGUAGAGAUACAAAAUUUUUCCCACCUUCGAUUUUGUCGGUAGUGACGGAGAUGCAAGAUAUUUUUUCAGAUCUUCAAAGGACUGCCGGCAUUCAUCCGACCAUGAGAAAUCCUUUGUCUGUCGUAGGGUCUUGAAAAAAAGGCAAGCAUCUUUUGACCGAUCUCGAAAUGAAUCGGCUAAGUGCGGCGAUCCUUCUAUUGAGUUGUUAUAUCUCUUUCUUUAAGCUCGGAUGCUUUAUGUUGAUGAUGGCCUUUAUAUUUUCGGGAUUGACCUCGAUUCCUCGUUGUGACAUAAAAAAUCUAAAAUUUUUUUUGAAAGUUACUCCAAACACACACAUAGUUGGAUUCAACUUCAUUUGAUAUCGUCGAAGUGUGCUGAAAGCUUCUUCUAGGUCCCGAACAUGAUUUGAGAUUUAGAGAUUUUUUACCAAUAUGUCAUAAACUUUCAUGUUUCGUUCGAUCUGUACUUUGAAGAUCUUAUUGACAAGCUGUUGGUAAAUGGCUCCGAUAUUUUUUAAAUCGAAAGGCAUUACUUUAUAGCAGUAGAUGUCUUUGUCGGUUACGAAGGUUGUAUGCUCUUCAUCUUCGGAUGUCAUCCAAAUCUGAUUGUAGCCUACAAAGGCAUCCAUGAAAUUUAGGAGUCGAUGAUCCAAAGUCACAUCAACUAGUUGAUCAAUCUUCGACAAAGAAAAAAUAUCCUUCGGACAAGCUUCAUUUAGAUUUAUAAAGUCGAUGCAGAUUCUCUAUUUUUCAUUGGCUUUUCUCACCAUCACUAUAUUGGCGAGCCAAUCGGGAUAAGUAGCUUCUCUAAUGAAGCCAGCUGCGAAGAGCUUGUCGACCUCUUCGUCGAUGAUCUUCUGUCUUUCAGGAGCAAAAGGCCUUUUCUUCUAUCUCAUCGACUUGACCUUCGGAUCAAUAUUAAAUCGAUGAGUUAUACUUCCAAUGGAAUUCCUGACAUGUCUGUUGCCGACCAAGCAAAAAUAUUGGCAUUAGCUCGCAGUAGAUUUAUUAAUUGCUGUCACUCCGGAUCAAGCAGUUGCAAUCCAAUUUGGACCAUCUUCUUCGGAUCUUCUUUUAAUGAGAUAAAAAUCAGUUGUUUGGCUGGUUCACUCCUCUCUUUAUUUUCUCUUUGAUCUAAUUUAUCGAUGGACAAAGAGUCUUCGGAUUGAUUAUUUUGUGUGAAAACUAGAAAGCAGCAUCGAGCAAGUUGUUGAUCUCCACGCAUCUCUCCGACUCCAUUCCUUGUCAGGAAUCGGACUAACAGAUGAUAUAUCGAGACUACUGCUCUCAAGACAUUAAGUCCAGAUCAUCCAAGCAUGGCGUUAUAAGCCGAGGAGACUCGAACAACCAUGAAUGUAAGGAGAACAGUGCUCUGUUGUGGUUCAGUUCCUGCGGUUAAGGAGAGAGUGAUUUUUCUUUCCAUAGUAACAGCAUUUUCAAUGAAACUGACCAAUGGCAUCGAGACUCUUCUGAGUCGAUCGGUUGGUAGUCGCAUUCGAGAGAAAGUCGAGUAAAACAAAACAUCUGUUGAGCUUUCAUUAUCUAUAAAAAAAUUUUUACAUCAUAAUUAGCUAUCGUUGCCGAAACAACGACAGCAUCAUCAUGAAGAGUUUAGAUUCUCCGAACAUCUUCUUUCAAAAAAGUAAUUACAUUAUCGAGUCAUUGUUUCUUCGCUGACUCUUCUUCGAAAGUUGCCCAUCAAUUUGGUCGUCCAGAGAUCAUGUUGAUCACUCCUGCGAUCGAUCGAUUUUUGAUAGUUUCCUCAUUUUAUGGUUGAGGUUGUCAGUCAGCAGGAGAUUGAGUCGGUUGAUUUCUUCAAAAUUUUUUUAGAUAGCCUUGUCGAAUCCAAGCUUCAAUCUCGUCCCUGAACUGGAUGUACUGCUCGAUAUCGUGAACGUGAUCACGAUGAAAUCGAUAGUACUUCUUUCUGUCUCGGCUCUUUGAUGGUGCUUUCAUCGGUGGGGGGUAUCGUAGAUAUUCUGCUCCUUCGAUCUUCAUCAGGAUCUGUGCACGAAGAGCAGAAAGAGGAGUAUAGAAGUCAUACCUGCUAUAGUUCAGCUUCGAACUCCAUCGUCAGGGUGAAGCUCGUUUAUUGAGUGGUGGCUGAUUUGAUUCGGCUGGAGCUCCACUUUUCUUCUGUUUUUUCUUCUGAUAUUUUUUUUCUGUCUGAUAUCAGUCAAAAGCAGCUUCGUCCGCAUGGAUAUACUUGUACGCAUGCUCUAGAAGUUCAGCAUAGGUCCGAAGGAGAGUUUUGUCCAAAGAGUAAGUGAAUCUGGAUGUCCUCAGAUCCCUUUUCAUGACUGAUAUAGCCAUGUCUUCAUUAAGAUCCAUGACCUCAAACGUGGCCAUAUUGAAGCGAGCCAUAAAAUCUCUUAACGUCUUUGUCUCACCUUGCUUGAUUGAGAAGAGACUGUCGGAUGUUCGUAGCGACCUUCGGUUAGUACUGAAGUGGGCCACGAAAGAGUGCUCAAGCUGCUCGAAAGAAUCAAUGCUUUCCGACUGAAGUCCAAAAUACUAGGCUCGAGUAUCCUUCCGAAGGGUUGUCAGGAAGCCAAUGCAUAAGAGGGUGUUGGUUGCCUCCUGGAUCAUCACGAGCGUCUUAUAGCUUUUCAGAUGGUUGAUCGGAUUGGUGGAGCCAUUGUAUGGCUCUAUCUGAGACAUCUUGAACUGAGAAGAAAUCAGCUCAUCCUAGAUGAGCUGAGAAAGAGGCUGGGCAAUGUGGAAGUCUUGGUCGUUGGGGGACUUUCAACCUUUCAUCUGAAGUCGGACAAGCUGACGAUCAAUCUCUUAAAAUUUACGUUCAUAAUCGUCAAGCCGGUGUUGCCGGAAAACUCCAGGGGUGGAGCCUCCUGAAGAACUUGAAGGAGAAACAGAAGGUGUUCGUGGUCGUUUUUCUUUCCUGAUAUUGUAUAGAUGGGAAGAAGGAGAACGCCAUGAAUGGUGAGUGGCACGAUGAGAGUGCCGAGAAUGUGAUUGUCCGUCUCAGUGGGAGUGCCGAGACGGUCGCUCUGGAGAUGAGGAGGGUGAGCACUGCGAAGGAUGGCGGCUGUGCCUAGAUGGCACCGAUUGCUCCACCGACGGCUGCUGCUGCAACUGGGUUUGCUACUGCUGGAGGCUUUGGACUACCUCCGUUAAAACUUUCACUUGCUGCAUGAGUGCAGCAAUCUAUGCGUCUAUGGUGACCACAGGAUGCGAGGAACUGAGCUCUACUAUUGGAGAUGGGGGAGGAAUAUUUUUUUGACGGAAAGACUGCCUCGCCAAUCCAAUCGAGUGUUAAGCUUUGAUUUUCGACAUGAUCGACUGUGGCUUUUCUCUUAUUUGAUGCGUCAAUUUGUUGCGGCCAACUUCCUGUCACCUGUCACCGAUGAAGAGCACUUGCAAGAUAAAGUCCUCACAGACUGGAGUUGUGUCUGAUGGAGACCCUCCGAUGUUUAAGUCAAAGAGGGGUUGACGAACAGCUAAUGACAAUGUUGAGAGUGGCAGAGUUUUUUGCCUAGAAUUGUCUUAUCCGUACUGUUCGUUUAUCUCUCUUUUUAUAAAUGAUUCUGAUGUAACCGUCGGGCACGUGAUCUCGCUUUUUAUGCCGCUAAAUUAUCGAACUAUAAUUGUAGAGUUAGUGGGUCGUUUAUUUCCACUAAUGACCAUGACACGUAGUUGAUAACCAUUUAUAACGGUUAGGAUAUGUUGAGCAGAUAAGCCAACUGUAUGUUGGUAAUACUGAUAAGUCGGUAGAAGAUCCGAAUGUCUAUCGUCUGGUAACUCUGAUACACCGAUGAUCUUCGAUUGGAGGUUAAUUAAGUCGUCUGUUGUUGGUCGAUAAUAACUGACUCUUGAUCGGUCAAUCGAUUGUGAGUUGACGUAAUAUGUUCAUUUGGCUGAUGUAGAGUCAAAGUCGGGGGUCGGUUGCAUUGUCCCAAUAAUUUAUUAUGAAAUAAAAAAAAUAUAUAUUAUCUCAAAAAAAAUAAAAGAAAUUAUAAAUUUUUUUUUUAGAUGGAAGGAACUGUUAACAAAUUAUUGUUCCGAACUACAGGAUGCUUAUGAAAUUGUCUAAGGCACCUGGAUUCGUUGUUAAGGAGAGGCUUUUGACAAAUGGCAUGUUCUUGAAAUUUGGGGCGUCUAUAAUAAUUGGACCCUUUUAUAACAAUCUCUCCCAUUAAUCGAUCUUUUACGAAAGCAUUUUCCAAUUAAGAUAAUCUCUCGCAUGUAUAGAAAGAUUUCGUAGCCCAUGUCCUCACCCCCUUGCUUUAUCAGAUUUCAUCUUUUGUGCAGUAUCAAUGUGAACCCAAAUAAGUAAAUUUUUCUUUGCAAAAAAAAAAUAAAUAAAUAAAAUUUUCUUUUCUGCAUGAAUAAAUAAAUAAAAUUUUCAAAAAAAAAAUCAACUAUAAAAAACUCGAAGAAACAUAAGGAUGAUGUCAAAUGUGAAAUCUGUAACAAGAUUACACUGUAUUUAAAUUCUGUUGGAGAAUGGAAGUAUAUAUUCUGACAACAUAUGAUGAUGUCAUAUUCUUUUUGAGAUAAUGGAUGAUGUAAUAUUCUGUGAACUUAGACAUAGCAACAAAGCUGUUAACAAGACAUCUAAAUCUUGAGGCAGCAACUUGAUAGCAUUGCUGUUUCAUGUUCUCCAACAAAUCUGAAAAUUAAGUUGCGCUCCUAUAUUUCAAAGGUUGAUAAGAUCCAAGCUAGCCAUCAAAUCCUCCAACCGGAGUAUCUUGUGCAAGGCAAGUGCCAUGUUCUACUUCAAAGAUUUUCUUUCAAGAAGGAAAAGGUCUCAUAUCCUAUCAAUAGUAUGCGAUGAUCGUAGCCUUUAUUAGCCCUAUCUUUGUAUAGUUAAACUAUUAGUUUGGUGACUGUUAGAAAUGUUCCAUUAGCAACAAGUAAUGCUUUAGACGCACAACCAAAUGGGCAUCUAGUUAAGAGGAUGCUAUGCCCUCCUUGUGUUUGCAUGGGGAAUAGAUGGCGCAGUGGGAACCACAUGGUGCAUGUGGUCAUGUGAUCAGAGUGCAGCUCUUCAGCCACCGGCCAAUUGUGCAUUUCUGGUGUGGGCACACUAUUGAGAAGCCGUGCUGCAUUUUGGCUCUUACGUAGGCAUGAAAAAUAUUUUAACAGCAAAGUUUUACCAGGCAAAUCUAAUAGAAUCUUAUUUUGCUAAAUAUUCAAGAGGAUCUUGCAAGAAAGAUAAAACGCAUAGGUAAAGUUUGAAAAGAAAAAGAGAAAUGCCGAUUCUCUCCUGAAGGACACUACAGACAAUAAAGAUUGACUUACACACAACCCCCCUUCUCUCCAUAUAUCUCUCAAGGUAAAACUGUUCAUUUGAUUUUUUUUAAUAUUUUAUUUAAAUCUCUAUGCUAGCUAUUAUAAAAAAUUAUAUAAUUUUAUCUUUACCCAAAAAAAUUUAUGAUAUUUGAUCAUGCAAAAAUCAUAAUGUUUUUUUUUAUUGUACUUUUCGUGUGUCAACUGUAAAUCUAAAAUUCAACUAAUAUUUAUUCAUCGCUCAAUCCUAAAUAUAAUUUGAAAAAGACUAAAUCAUCAGGUAUCUCCAUGAUAAAUAAUUUUUUAUAUUUUAUAAAUAAUUUAAUUAAAUUUCUCACCGCUCAAUCCUAAAUAUAAUUGGAAAAAAACUAAAUGACGAUCUAUCUCUAUUAUAAAUAAUUUAUUUUUUAUAUAUUAUAAAUAAUUUAAUUAAAUUUCUAACCUGAGAAUGCUCGUCCCAAAUGACCAUCUUCUAAAUUCCACGACAACCAAAUCCUACGGACUACUUACAUACAGCUGUAUAUAUCCUACGUGGCAAAUCCCUAGUGGCUAAGGCCACAAAGAGCACAGCAUAUUCCUUUUUACAUGCACGUGUACGGAAUGUGCGACUUGCCAUCCGUGCCAACCCCACGCGUGCCCUUUUAGUGGGACCCACCUCCGAAGCGAAUCCCCCACGCAGGCUUUUUACCGUCUUUUAGUAAUCACGCAAAGUAAAAUUAGCUGGCAACAUGGUAAGAGCAGUCCAACAGGACAGAGAUAGAGAUAUAAACAGUAAAAAAUAUAUAUGAAGAGGACUUUAUUUACCUUGCCGUCGUACUCGCGGCCAGAGAGAAUCUCCGGGGCGAUGUAGGCCGGCGUCCCCACCGUCGAUUUGGGCCUCGAGUGAAGCAGCGACGACUGUAACACCCAAUUUUUUCCACAUUAAUUCUCUUUUUCUUUCAAAAAAAAUUUAUUUCCUAACUUUCCACGAAGAUUUCAAAAAAUAAAUAAAUAAAUAAAAUAAAACCUUGGAGUAUCCAAAAUCGCAAAUCUUAAGCCGUGGGGCAGGGCUUCCAUCCAGCAAGGUGUUCUCCAGCUUCAAAUCUCGGUGGCAUAUUUGCUAAAAAUUCAUCAAAUUUAGUGCAUAAGUAAAAAUAAAAAAAAAGUUAUUUAACUUCUUCAGCAUUUUUAUUUGUUAGAAUUUCGUUUUCCUUUUUCUUUUUACCAUGAAGUGGCAAUAGCUGACGCCAGAGAUGAGCUGCUGAAAGAAAUAUCUUGCCUAAAAAAUAAUAAUAAAUGAAGAAUUAUUAAUAUCAUAAUGAGAUAUUUAUUUUAGAAUACUAAGAAAAGCCAAAAAAUAUAAAAAAAUAAUAAGAAAACAGAAUAUUCGAGGAACCUCGUCUUCGCUGAAUCGGCCGGCGUUGCAGAUCCGCUCGAAGAGCUCGCCGCCGGCGGCGUACUCCAUCACGAUCGCCAGAUGCGUCGGCGUCAAGACCACCUAAAUUAUCGUUAACCAAAUCAAAACGAAGAAAAUAACAUCAGACUAUGGAAUAAAUCCCAUAGAAAUGGACCCAAAAAUCGCCGGUAAAGCAACAAAAAGGGGGGGAAAAAGGAAAAUAGAUUUCAAGCUCCCACCUCCUUGAAUCGGAUGAUGUUGGGGUGCCGCAGCGAACGAUGGUUGAUGAUCUCUCUCAACACAUUCUCGUCAAUCUGCACUCCAAGAACACAAAUCAAAGCAUCAUCAGAUCCAUCCAAUCCGAGAUCAAGCGCUACACAUACAGAUCGAAUCGGAGCAAGAACCAACCCUGCGGCCCCUCUCGAUGCACUUCAUGGCGACGAGCUCCUUGGUCUCCUUGUUCCUCAUCAGCUUCGCCACCCCGAAGUUCCCCGAUCCGAUGUCCUUCACCACCUCGUACUUCUCCAUCUCCAGAUCUCCCCCACAAUUCCCACCCCUCCCAAAUCCCUCAAAAACCCGAACAAAUCCUUCGAAAUCACUACCAACCAACCUCACAAAGAACUACCACUGAUUUCUACUCAUCCGGAUCCCAUCGCCCUCGCCUUCUCUUCGAGAUCUGGGAUCGAGACGGGGGAGGAGACUCUCGAGGACGGCGGUGAAUCCACUGAGGAAUAAAAGCUGCCAAAAAUCUGCGAGUGUUUUAGAGCGGUAUAAUACAAGCACACACCUUCCAAGAAAGCUUGGUUAAAUUAUUUAUUUAUGGUAACUUUUACUUAGGAGUGAAGUUAGGGGGAUUGGGAGGAUCAGGGCCGUCCAUUGAACGGGAUAUUCUCGUUGAAUUGAUUAUCCAAUGAUUGGAUGAUUGGGUGGAGAGUGGGGACCAGGGUAUGGUAGGGUAUAUUAGCCUAUAUGGAUUGGACGGCUAGGAUUGAAGGGAUGUGACGGGAUUACUUUAUGAUUGGAGCGUAGUGGUAAUGAUAACUGUAGGAUUUGCUCGUUUGGUUAUUUGGGUCUCAGGGUGGUGGAAGGAGCCACAUGGGUGGGGAAGUGGGGAUCUAAUUAAAGAAGGGCAUGUGAUGGCAUUUGCUUUUGGCUUAUUCUAUGUACGGUAUAUAAGCUCUUGAUGCACAAAGGAAAUGAACGAAGCACCUGCGUAUUGAUUUGUUUUAAAGAUUUCUACACAUGAAGAAAUUAAUACGCUAAAGCUCGUUCAUCCAGUUACUGCUAAGAUUAUUUUUAGUCCUAUGUUGAGGUUGUUUCAUUGAAAAGUUUUUUAUGAUACAAGACGCACGCUAACAUCAGUCCAGAAUUUUCUAUAAGAUGCGAAAAUAUAGGGUUCUAUACAGUAUUCGAUGAGUAUCAUUAAGAAAUAGAUGAUAAUAUAUUAAUUAUUAUAAUUAUGUAUGAUGUGGUGCAACUUGUACUUCAUGGGAGAUACAUGCUCAACUAGUUUUACCUACCUCUGUAUCGAUGUUAACUAGGAUCUAGGAUGGUUGGUCCAUUUCUAUCUAAUAAAAAAUUUGUAUGGGAUGGUAAAUUAAGAAUGAUUAAAUAGGUAUUUAUCUAUAAUAAUACUCAGAAGUAAAGUUGGUCUUCGGAAGUUUGAAUCCUCCCACCAAUAGAAUAUCUCAUUUAAUUUGCAGAAUGUCAGGUGACCGGACAAGGUCGAGUCAUACAUGUCCUAUCAUGUUGAAGUACUCGCCAUUACGUGAUUCAGAGGAAGAGGAAAGCGAGUUGUGGAGUGCCUCUCAAGUUCCAAAGCAGAUGGAAGGGAAUCCAAAGUUGUUUUUGAGACACCGGCACAAAGACUUAAUUAACGCAUCUUACCGAAAGAAAAGUAAAAAAAAAAAAGGAGAAACACUUAAUUAAACGUAGAGAGAUCAAGUAUUGCUGAGUGGAAACCCAGUACACUGAUGAUGUUGCCGUUGAAAUUUGAAUGAUUCAUUAGAGAAAAAAAAAUGAUGACUGAGAUGUAAAGAGAUUAUUAAUUAAAAUUAUUCUAUCAUAUAUAUUUUGAAUCAUCCGAUAAUCAAUCAAUAUAUCAUUUAUUAUUAAAAAAAUAUAUUAUUAUUUAAAUUUUAUUAAAAAUUUUAAAUAUAAAAAAUUUACUAUUAAUUAUGAUUGAUCAAAUAAUAAUUUUUAUUUUUUAUGGGCCGUAUGCUGAUUUGUUAUUGCAUGAUUCAAAAUAUAUAUAAUAAAAUUGUCCCCUUAAUAAUAUUUCCUUGUAUUAUGCUGUAGUUUCAAAAGUCUAAAUAGUGUCGAGUUACUAUCUUUUCCUUGAAAAGGUAAUGGGAAUAGUAGUGCCAUGGGCCCAAUCCUUGUGCCAAAAACUUUCUCGUCACUGCUGUUAGAGAAAUUAUUGCAUGCGCUAAGUCCAAAUGAAUCGAAGCAAAUUUUAGAGCAUAUGCACCGUGGAUAGCAUGCAAUCAAGAAUUGAUGAAAUACAACGGGUAGCAUGGCAUGUUACCUAUUAUGAGAUUUGAUGCGAUCUAAUUGUAGUUGGUGCAUAUAAUACAGAGGCCUACUGUUACUUAGUCCAGUGGUAUUACGGUAACUCGUGGAAUUGGUGCCACUCACAGAAUGCUACUUUUGGACCCCGUUUGGAAAAGGAAUAAGGAUUUUUUGAACAAAUAGACUUCAUCCUGAAUAAACCUACUGUAGGAUGAAUUUAGAUGAGGUUGGUCUUAAAUUUUUGUUUGGGAAUACAACUUUCAUUCCAUGUAACUUUUUUUUUUUCAUUUGAGUGCAUUUUGAGAGUAAGAAAAUAGUAUUUGAACGACAAUUUGACAAAAACUAGAAAAUGCGAAAAUUUUUCGACUUGGUCAAGAUUGCCUUUGCAAUAGCAGCUAUUCUCUCUUUAUUUGCAAUAUAGAUUGUUUUAAAAAAUAAUUAAAAUAUUAUUAAGAUAAUGAAGGACAUUAAAUACUAAAAUAAAAAAUUAUAUUUGAGUCAUGAUAAGAAAUUAUAAUAGCUUUGUUUUUAUUAUAAUUUGCAUAAAUGAUACAGUAUGGUUAAACUAUGAGUUUGCAAUAAUUUGAUUGAAUAAAUAUAAUAUAUUUUUUAUAUAUACACAAUAACAUAUUAUUUGUGAUAUAUUAAAAAUAAUAAAUUAAAAAAUUUAUAUUAUAACAUUCAACUCCAUAUAUGGUAAGGAAUGAGAAGGCAAGGAAGAAGCACCAAAGGGCUCGAGUAAAUAGACUUUUUCAGAGAGGAGUGACGAUGGAGUAAAGGUGCAACUAAAUGCAUAUUGAAACAAGUUGGCUAGAUGGAUCAUAAGUGAAGGAUGUGGCCAGAGUAAAGGGAUGACAAAAAAAUGAAGAGAGAGAGAGGGUCAUCAUAAAUGAUGGAGGACAGUAAUGGUCAUUUUGAAGAAUACUCUUUUAAACCUCCACGUCCCUAUCUAAAAAUAAGAUAGUUCCAAAUUCUCCAUAUCUUGGAGAAAGCUAGCUAGCUUGUCCUUAUAUUCAUUAAAUUAUCAGAAAUAGAAAUCUAGAUUGGAUAAAAUUUUACCUUAGCGCCGGUUUGGAUAUUCCUAUAAAAUUAGAUUAAAAAUUUUAUAGAAUUCAUGGAUUAUGAAAUCUAUUCAAGUAUGACCUUGUAUACCAUUUAGCCUAAAUCUUGUAAGAAGAAAAAAAUUAUCUUUGUAGUAUUUUUUUUUGAUAACUUAAAAGUUAGGAUCUGAGUUGAAUUUGGAAAGAUUUAUAAAAAAUACAAGAUGGAUGGGUCGACGGAUCCAAUUCCUAUAUAAAUUUUAAUCUAAUUGUAUAGAAAUAUCCAAAUAAACUUUUAGAUAUUAUUCUAAAACUAGAUGGAGAUAGAACCGCCCAUAGUUUAAGAACGGAUGCUGGCUAUCCAACAUGUUCCAUCAAUUGCUAUCACAUUUUGGUGGUGGUCGAACAACUCAGUCGUGAUCUAUUAUCCCUUCAAAUAAUCUAAUAAACUCCUCCGUGCUGAAUCUAAAGAUGGCGAUUCUUAUUAAAUUUUUGAUGUGCACCGUGGAUGACAUUAUCUAGAUAAGUAUUUUCUAGAAAAUAGCAUAUCUUGGUUUUCUAUCCUUGCAUUUAGCUGAUGUUACUUUUCAUUCGAUACAACAUCCUCUUAGUUUGGGUAUGUGCCAUGCUCCUCACGUUAAACUCCACCAAUUAAAUGGCGUCAGCCAAGAUUACCUUACUAUUUUUCAUUUUAAUAUGUUGACAUCUGCCAUGACUUCAGCAUUUUGUCAUUUUGUUCCAGAUAAAAUUGAAUGCAUGGUCAUGGGGAUGCAACUGUAACAAGAGAUUUUCUCCGUAUCUUUCUUAAUUUCUGGGGCAUCCAUGCUUUUGAAUUGGAUGGCACUGAACUGCUACGAGGGCAAAAACAGUCAAAUGAAGGCAUCAACUUCAUUCGCCAGAAGAUAGAACUGUUUUGGAUUGUUGAGAGAGGGAGAUGGCAACAGAGAGGGGUGGGCAGCACAUGCAUUGGGUGGGGAUAAAAGAGAUGAAAGGCAGGGUUAAAAAAUCUUGGCACUGAGGGGUAAGAAGAUUCAAGCCAUGGGCAUAUGUGUGUGUAUACACACACACACAUAUACAUGCAUAAUGCAUGCAGGUACACACACACACAUGCAUGCAUGAAUGUAAAUGACAGUAGGAGAAAUGGUCAAAAAUCUUGCCAUAUGGCCACCUCGAUGCUUUACCUCCUAUAAUGAUCUUCUUCCUUUUUGUUCCCCUCCUCUCUUUUCUAUCUAAUCCAUUGCUUAAGCUUGAACUUAGUAUCAUCUUGAUCUUUCUCUCUUUUCCUCUCUGGUUUUAGAUAAGGCUGCCUCUUUGAAAAAAUGCAAAGAAAAAAGAAUAGAGGGAGGAAGAUAAAUUAGAAAGAGAGAGAGAGAAAAGAUGAGGGAUGAUUGUCCUUGUGGUCUCACAUAACGAAUGAAUGAUCAGCAGAUUGUAAGUGAUUGUACUCAAACUGCUUAGUAUUUAAAAAAAAUACAAAUUAUCCAUUGUAUGAUGGAUGGUUGCACAUGAGCUAUAUGCAGAUGUGGGCCAUGUGAUGUACCAUAUCAUACGGUGCAUCACCAGUACGGCAAAAAACCAAUGAAUUUGGGCUCAUUUAGAAAUGACUUAACCUCUUUAAUGUAACUUUUACAACCAGUGGAACCAAUCACUGUACUCCAUUGUCUAAUAUAAUCUACCUAGUUCAUAGCUCAAGAUAUCAAAGAAAAUUGGAACUUUUUUGUGUGCACUUAAACAGAUCCCCCGUAACAAAAACUUUUCAUUAUUUUAAUUGUUUUAUGCAUUGCAUGAAAAAUAUCUUUAAGGUCUUCGCAAAUUUUAGAUCUACAAUAAUAAAAUAAAUGUACAAUAACCUCUAAAAGAUUUCUUCCCUCACCCUCCAUCCAAAUAAGUUAAAAAAAAAAAAGAUGCACUAGUGAAGAUAAAUAUAUUUACAAAUGAAUAAAUGCAUCAUGUAGGGAAACAUGUACAUGAAAAACAUGGACAUGUGAUUUGUACUUGGCAUGUUUUCGAUUUUUGUAGGAGAACACAUGGCAUCACAUGAGAUGGCACGGUAAAAGAUUAGUGAUUAGAGGGUGCUGCGUGUGAAUAUUUUUCCACAAGCUUGUGUUGAUUACCCAUUCUUCUUAGACAAAUUAAAGAACAGUGACGUUAGUCAAUGGUCUCAUAAACUUUCAAUCUAUUGAUAAGCCAUGAUAUCUUCCCUAAAUUGCUCAGUCCAAGUCUUUUUCAAUAUUAAAAUAGUUGGCAUUGUUUUCUUUGAAGCCAAUUUAUAUUUCCAUCAAUGUCAUAUUAUUCAACAAAUUGAAAAACAAAGUGGUAUAUACUGUAACAUAUGUUGAAAGGAAUGAAAACAAUAAAACUAGUCAUAGCACAAGGAAGUGGACAAUGGGAAACUAGCUGGUACACGUAUUGACAUUUUAGUCACAACUACUAAUUUUUGAACAAAUUGUUCCUUUUUAAAAGACUGUAAUGGUCAGUUGAAUACAAAGUGUGUGGAAUAUUGGUAAUACCAAAAUUAACAUUUGGAAAUUUCCUCUAUUAAAAAGAUUAUACAUGCUAUUGCAUAUGACUGAUGGCAUGCAGUAGCAUAUUUCUAUGAAGAAAAAUUUACACUUUGCUUUGUUAGAUCACCACCCAUGCCCCUCAUGAAGGAGCGCAUGCGCACGUCCCCAUGCAUGCCCACAUACAAAUACACAUAUUUGCUUUACUAAAUCUUUACAUUAGAUAUAAUACAAAUAAAUCUUUCUGAAUAUCCAAAUACAUCUCAUGGGACCAUGGCCAUGCGAUGAUUUGGAUAAAUUGAUCGUAUAGUUUGAAGGAGGGAUAGUGUAGGCCUUGUAUAUUCUUAUAGCCCCUUGUAUGUGACCAAGGUUCUAGCAUAAGUGACUAGAAGUGAUGAGAGUCCAUAAAUUAAAGAGGGUCCUAUAUACUUACUGAAAAUGGCGUCCAAUAUGAGCUAUAAAUUACCAAUACUAAAUUAAAACCAAAGUUCGGGUAGAGGCAGCAAGAAGAGAAUUGGAUAAAGUAGACAGUGGCUAGCACUCUAGAAUUAGAAAGCUUAUAUGGGGGCCAUGAAUGGAUUGGGCAUGGCCGAAGAAUUGGGGAAAAAUUUAUUAUGGUAUGUUACAAAAUUCUCAAGUUAGGUGUGAUUUAGGUCCAUAGUAGGUUGGUGAACCUAACACGGAAGCUGAGAUUCCCUUUGCGCUCCCUUGUCAUCACUCGUAUCCUUCUAUUAAGAAAAACAUAGAGCAAGACAAGUAGUAAUUGAAUUAAUCGUGUCGGAUUAAUAAUGGUCUAGAUUUUUGGCCUAGACAAGAUUGAUUUAUAAAUAAGUUGAACAGAGCUGGGUUAAGUGGUGCCAAGCUUGCUUGGAUUCUAUCCGCCGUAUUCCAAGUCAAUUGCAUUACGUUUUCUUGGAUUCAACCGGGCACACAUGGAUUAAGAAGUUUCCUUUUGGAAUUAAUUAUUUAAUAACCAUCAAAAGGUUAUACUUUCUGAUCCUUGCCAAAUUCAAUUGGAAUUCUCUUGGAUCAAUAUUUGCUUCUGUUUAGCUUCACUUGGCAUUUGUGCUUACUCUUCUUUACUCCUGAAGCAGUUAAUCUAAGCUGCAGCUAAUAGUAAAGUUAUAUGUGUAACCAGUACAAAAUUUAUGCUUUUUUUUUUUUGGUAAGAAAUAUAUUAUGCUCUUUAAAUAGGUGAUUGUGGAAUUGGUUGAGAGAAGUUGUGCGCAAGCACUUGGUCAUGAGGUAAAAUUUGUCUGCCCACCAGGUGAAUCCUUCCAUGCCACAUAAGUUAAAGAUUCCUAGCUGCAUAGAAUUACUCUAGGAGCUUAGAAAGAUGCCUAUAUAUGUUUGCUAUCGAGUUAUUAAUGUUAAGAAUCAUGUUCUUUGUAUAACUGUUAAGUUUGAUUUUUCUCAAAUGGAUCAACAAUCCGUAUCUAGUAAUGGUUAUAGAUGACUUAUCCAGAUUUGGUUGGAUGACCAUCCAAGAGUUGUAAUAAAUUAUAGCUUUCAAUAUACUUAGGCUAUGUUUUGGUAAGAGGAAUAACUGAGUAUCUCCUAGUGUGGAGGAUUAACCAUCAAACACUAAAAAAUGGACAAAAAUUUCUAAUUUGGAUGAGUCCAAAAGUGGAUUUAUUCGGAUAACACAAUUCCAUCCAAAUGAUAGAAUAAAAUUAUUUCAUGAAAUAGAGAGAAUUUAUCCUUUCAAUUGCAAUUUUGUCCCUAUCUAUUUUUCAAUACACAGUAAAGUGAGAGGGCAAUUAUUUACUGUUGUCAUAAAAUUCAAAGCAUCAUCAAAACCGAUGGAUUGUUUUCAUUUCCUCAACCUAUCCCUCCAACCAAUACCAAAAGAGACUUUUCCCAUCAAAUAGCCUAUCCCUUCUUUAGCAGAGGGGAUAUCCCUCCAAGAAUUAUCCCUCCUACCAAACGCGGCUUCAAUAUUUUAUUUUAUAAUCUAUGGUAUGUUAAGAUGGAAAAGUAUGCUUAAAGAACUAAAUUGUUCAAAGUGAACUAAUGAUAUUAUAUCAAAUAUCUUACAGAUUGGUCAAAUCCUAUAUCACAAUAAAAGUUAUUGGUUGGAAUAGAUUCUCUAACUCAGCGAUCAACCACAGUCGAAUCAUAAAUCAUAAACCAACACGUACGUAAAGAUGCACAUAAAAGAAGAAAAAGGAAAACAAUACAAAUAUUAUCAUGUGUAUGCGUUGGCUCAUGGUAUUUACCGUUGAUCCGAUCCAACUAAAAAUUUCACAUACGAAAGAAAUAUAAAAAUUUAUUGGUUGGAUCAAACCUAUCAACGCCGGGGUGGAUCAGAAUGCAAACAUACUCGUAUUACUAUUUUUUUUUUACGUGUUGCAUGCCCUGCGGUAGGGCUGGUCCAAUAAUUCAGGUAGGUCCCACGCCCACAGGCUACCGGCACCGUCCGGUGAAUCAAGGUAUGUUGCAACGGUCCAAUCAGCUCCCGACGUCAGUGAGAAAAACGACAGCGGAAGUUGGGAAGCGGUCCAAAGAUUAUGUGAAUCUUUUGUAGAUAUGCUGAGUGAACCUACGGGACAAUACGUAAAAUGAAAUUAUCCACACAUGAACGAGUGGCGUUACUCACCAAUAGUAUGUAGUGGCCGAAAGCUAGUCCCAACUCAGGAUUGGCGCAUUGGAGGUGGAACAUCUCUUUGUGCGUUUGGUAAGCAAAACCCAACUAGAUUUCCUACAGCUAAGAGCCAUUAGAAGAUUGACCUUUAUAUAAUGAUGACUUAUCUAUUAAAUAAAGCUAAUUAUCCCAUACGGACCCGAAAAAAAAAAAGGGGAACGAAUCCUAGUGCGACUGGUGGGUGUAGCCCAACAAAGACUAUAACCCACAGCUAAGAGACAUUAGGAUAUUGGCUUGUUUAUAAUGACGUGUCUUCUUUAGAAAGGAAGGAUUGCCUUUUUUUUUUUUUUGGUUAUUAGCUUUUGGCAUUAGCUUGUUGUUGGUCCAUGCAUACGAGGGCAAGCAAAAAAGCCAAUGCCAUGCGGAUACAAUUGUACUUGGUAUUUUGAUACAAUUUUUUUGAUGAGUUAGCCAGAAAAAUUGGUCAAUGACGUUGUAGAUAGCCCUUCUUUUAGCAUAGAAAAAAAUAUGGGGCUAGGUGAUCACUCGUCAUCACCCUCCCAAUUGUCAUAUUCAAUGAAGCUAAAUAUUUUGAAUCCUUUUAAUUUGUCUUUGAGUAUACAGGAUAAGCACUAGCUGUUACAUUUAAGAUCGGCUUUAUGAAUCACCAAGGUAUGGUCGGUAUUGCUUUUUAAUUAUAUAUUCAGAAAAAGAUGGCCAUGUUUACAAGUUUUUCAUUAUUGAGAUGUCCGAAAAGAAUUAGAUGUAUGUCGUCUUAUCAUCAAGCACAAAGAUUAUUUUUAUACUUUAUACUUAUGACACUUAUUUUACAACUCUCUUUUUUUUUUUAUAUUUUUAUUUUUAAAAAUCAAAAAUAAAAAUUAAACUAGACUGUAUAAAUUUGUACCAUAAAUUAUUUUUUUAAAAUUUAUUCUAAAAAUUUUUAGAGUUUGUGGCUGCAAAUAUUUAUUAAUUUUAGAAGAUGAAAAUAAUAAUAGGAUGGUUGUUUUCUGCAAAUGUCAUCUCCUACAUCAUUCUCUAUCUUCAUUUAUACAUAGGGAAAAAGGCACAAAAAUGACUGCAGCUGUAAUGGGCCAUAAUUUACUUAUUUCUUAGCCUUAGAAAAUGAAUUUCUUGAUUUUUUUUACCUUAUUGAAUAUGUCAAGAGAAAAAAAUUUGAAAAACUAGAGGAUCUAAACCAACUGGAUGAGAUGAACCUUUUGUUACUAAAUGAACAUGAAUUCACGUGCCUUAGAAAGAAUUUGGCUAAAGAUAUGUAUUUUAGGGUCAUCGCUUUUGUAUUAGGCAUUAUUUUAGAUAUCAUCUAUAUCUACAAGGUGAAGGAGGAUCAUAAUCUUGUAUAUUUAAAAUUUUAGUUCUAUUGUAUAUAAGAUAUCAUUAAUCUUGCAAUGUCAUUCAAUUUAUUUCUAAGGCCUAUUGCAUUAGAUGAUGCCAUUGCCAUAGCGAUGUGUCGCAUCACCAAGCCAUAUAAUAACAUCUCUUGUCAUCACAUCAUAACUUUGCCCCUUAAUUUUAUACUUUCUCCACUAAGUAGAAAAAACAUCGGUGUCCCAAUGAUUCCACCGGUCGGUGUCUUUUUUUUUUUUGUCUUUUUGCUAAAAAAUGUGACUUUUCUUUCAAGUAGAAAGGAAUUAAGAAGCCUCUUAUAUGGCCAGUUACAUAGCAUCAACAUUAUAGGAUUCUAGGAUACAUCUUCUUAUUUCAUUAUUAAAUAUUUUAUUUGAUGUAUUUACACUCGUUUGAUUUAAUUUAUUUAUUUUAUCAAAAAAAAAUUGAAAGUUUUACUUUCAAAGCUUGUUCUAGCUCUCACGGGCGAUUUAAAAUUUAAACUAAUGUUCUAUGAAAAAUGUUUCAUGUAAUGAAUAACCCCCACAAACGACCACAAAAGAAAGGAUUAUCCCACCUUAGAUUUCUGAAUAUAUCUGACCCAUUGCCAAGGACAUGGCCCUCACCCCAGACAUGAUUACUUUGGUGCAAAACUUAUUUCUUUAGGAUUGUUGGCGGGAUUUGUUAAUUUAUUUUAGAGCUUUUGUCAAUCUUUGUGAUCAUUACUUGACGUUACGUGCUUCCUUUAUGGUGCAAUGCUCUCAUGCCCCACUCUCAUAAGCGGAAAUGAUUAGAUUUGAAGUCGGCACAACGAAAGAAACCUCUAUGAUGAUAGACAACUGUCACAAAAAGCCCAUUCUUGUUUGCCCUUCGGAAAAAUCACAUUAUCACAAGCAAGGAAACAUUGCAAGUAGUUGUUUCCAAAAUAAAAAGUUGAGGGGUUAGGCUAUCAAAAGGUUUUCCUCAUAGCAACAUUAAAAUAAAAAUAAAAAAGAAAGAAAGAAAGAAAGAAAAGAGAAGAAAACAAAUGAAAGGACAAAAUCACCUGGAGGAUGAACUUCUAAUUGCUCUUCUAAAUAGUAGUAUUAUUGUCAGAAUUAAAAAAAAAAGUAGCAUUAAUUGUCAGCAUAUUAAAAAAAAAAGUAUGAGUUCGACCUAGUCAAGGUUGGACCAAACUUAAGCCAACUUCCCAUGUAAUUUGGGUUAGAUUGGGUUUAUAUAUGUCUUUUAACAAGGUUGAGUUUAGGUUGAAGGCUUGGACAACCCAACUCAACCUUAAUCUAAUAUGCGCUAUGCACUUUUUUCUAAUUGAACAAACCAUUGUCAAAUGCAAGGUGAAGUAGCCUCAUAUAAGGAUACUUGCAAGUAUAUAUAUUUAAUCCCAUAAUGGUUGUGCAGCAGGAAGAACUUGGGUAUUUAUAUGGGAAUAAUGAACUCACAUAAUAACUUCUCCUUAAUUUUAUAUGAGAGGUCUAGGAUUAUUAAAAAUAUAAGAAUCCAUUCAUGCAUGUGUUUAGUCCAACAUUGCUUAUGUACUAAAAAGAUCUUAGAUAUCUAUAUAGGGCUAAUAAAUUAGAUAACAUAUUUUUUCUAGCCUUUUUAGAUAAGAUCAUGGGUUAUUAUAAAUGGCCACAAAGCAGAUUUGGUCUAUGGCUUAUGUAUGACUAAGGAACACUAUAGCCUAAGCUCUUUUGUAGCUGAUCAUGGGCCCAUGAUAUAGUCAUGGGUCUUUAUAUCUAUCAAUUGUCUGCACCAAUUAUAAUACUGGACUACAAGUAGAGAUAGCAACAAGUUGGAUAUGGGUGGGGUUGACUAAUAUAUGUACCCAUCCUACAAUUAAAAAUCUCAUAUCUAUCUCAGAUCGGAUUAGGUUGGAUCAAGUAGUGGUGCAAGUCGAGUCAGGUUAGAUAAAUAAGAUGGAUUGGGUCAAAUUGGAUCAGAUCGGCAUGGAACACAUUAUGCAAAUAUUAUAAAAUAAUUAUAACUUUGAAAUGGAAGACUAGAUUAAAACUAUAUUGGAUCGGAUUCAAGACGGAGCAUAUCGUUACCUCUAUUCAACCCAAAUCUGCUUUGGAUAUUUUAUCUAGAACUCAUAUCCACUUUGGAUUUUAAUCGAAUUGGAUAUCUAAUGCGUCAUUUACAAUUGCGAUCCCUAAUCACCAAAGCUCAAAAAGAAAUCAUCAGUAAAUUGAAAGUUUGUGCCUGAAUAAGCUUAAAAAGUGAUCCUUUGAGAUUCAUACUAAGCUAAGAUUGUAGGAUGGGAUAUACUUUGGAAGUCCCCCAAAUUGACAUGUACUCCUGUCAUGCUCUCGAUCCGAGAUCGUAAGUCUAGGGGUCAUGGUAACCGCUGUAUACUUAUGAAGAACUCUCUACAUAAGCAUGCAAGACAUUCCAAAAAUAAUAUCAAUACAUCACAGUAGAAUAAAAUUCAAAUAGUUAUUAUUCAAGUUUAAUUUAAAUAACUAAAUCAAAUAUCUUAUAUUAAAUAAAGUUUCACUAAAAAAUAAUAAAAAAAAUCUAAGUUCAACAAAGUUGGUCGUGCCAAAUCUUUCUUCUAAAAGCUUUCUUCCAAAAUUAUUGCCCAUAUUUGUUAUUAAUUAUCGGAAUCUGAAAAAUAAAAGAAAGAGGGAUGAGCUUAAUAGCCCAGUAAGUAAUGAAUAUCUCAAUUAGAUAUUUCAGAUAUUAUCAUAAAUAUGAUAUUUGAAAAUAAAUGAUAUGAAUAUUAUAACAACAUAUUCCAUACUAAUUCAAUACAAAUCAAAUCUUUCAAAUAUAAUCAUAAAUUCAAUUUGAGUCAAAACUAUAUACAAUUCAACAGUCUUUAACUAUGGUUAAUAUAUAAUCAUAUUAGCAGGGUUCACUGAAUACCAGCACACAACCCACUAGUAGGGUCUACUAAUUACCAGUGCACAACCCCCACUAGCAGGAUCCAUUAAGUACUAACGUAUAAUUUUCAUGGGCAAGAUCUACUGAAUACCAAGAUACAAUCCCCACUGAUAGGAUCCAUUGAGUAUCAAUGUAUAAUUCUCAUUAAUGAGACUCACUGAUUAUCAAUGUAUAAUCUCUAUUAGUGAAAUCUACUGAUUAUCAAUGUAUAAUCCUCAUUGACGAGGUCUACUGAAAUAUAAUUAGGCUGAGAGUACAAAUCCGAUCCAUAUCAAGUACUUGUUCAAUGUAAUAUAUAGAUAUCAUAAUUUUACUGAACAUAUGCAUAUUCUUUAAUAAAGUAUGAUAUUUUAGAAAUUAUUUUUUCAUUCAAAGCAUAGUUUCAUAAAUCAUGCAUAAUUCAAAGACUGAUAUUUGCUUUCAAAAUAAUUAUAAAAUUUUUUGAGAAGAUAGUUUGUUAUCUACUUUAUAUAGAAUACUAGAUCAAUUAAUCUUGAGGGAAUUCUUCAGAACCUAUUAUUCAAAAUUAUAUUUUUAUAUUAAUUCUAAUUCAUAAUAGAAUCAUAAUAAAAUCCUAAAUAAAAAAUCUACUUAAGAUCAAACUAAAAGUUGGGUAUGUUUUUUGAAUCAAAUUUCUAAAAUAAGAUCAAUUCAUCAUGAAAGAUUAUUCUUCAAUUUCAUAAAUCCAAGAAAAGAGAGAGACAGCAAACAUGAUAGAGAAAGAGAAAUAUUAAAGAGAGAGAAAUAAUCUAGAGAGAGAAAGUGGAGAGAGAGUUAUACUUUUUAAAGAAAAAAGAUGAGAUUCAGAAUCAAAGCGGAGAGAAAGAGAAGAGAGAGAAAUUUCCUCUCUCUUCUCUUUUUUUCUUCUUCUUUUUUUUUCUUUUUUUUCUUCCUUAUGGAACAAAGGAUUGCAUCCUCUUUCUUUCUUUCUUUAGACAUUACAGAAAACUCUUUGUUUCCUUGUUCCCGAUGCCAAAGUGGGCCUCCUUCCCAUUGACAAUGCUCAUAGCCAGAGGAGUAGGCCACGGUGCUGACCGACGACCCAAGUUUGGUGACCGACGAUGGCAACCGGCGAUGGAAAAACCAAAGACAAAAAGGGAAAAAAUAGAGGAAUCUGAAUUCAAAGUUUUGAAGAGAUUUUUUGACAGCAAAUUCAACAAAAAUUCAGAAAAGAUUCAAGCUUAAAACCCAUAGAACUUUGAGAGAAAGUUAAUUAAAGGUAUCUACCUGAUCUUUGAUAGAAUUGAUCCGAUUCUUGACAACCAAAGCAAAGAUAAACCGCCAAAAAAAUAGGAAGAAAAGAGGGAAGAAAGAAUGAUUCGACGAUGAUUUUUGGGUGAAGGUUAACUAAGAAAUUGAGAUCUUUAAAUAGACCUCUUAAAGGAAGACAUUAGAGUUUCAAUUAAAUCUCUUUUCCUAAGAUUUUUAGGAAAUCUAAUCGGAGAAGAACUCCUUCGGGAGUUCUUCCAUGUCCUUGUUCUAUGCUAAUUCCAGCACGUGCAAUGCUUGUGUUGGCUUUAUUUUAUUUUAUUGGGUGGUUUUCUUUUUUAAAAUUUUUGGGUAUUACAACUCCAAUAUACACUGAUGCAAAAAAAAAAUCCCAAUAUUAGUAUAAUUAAAAUUUUCAUACAAAACCACUUCUAUGACAUCCAACAUCAUUGGGUUAACUUUUCAACACAACUUGAAUCAUCCAAAACAUGAGUCAAAUGGGGAACUUAUGGAUGAUCUAUCAAAGAUAUGUCAAUAUUGAUGAACUCUUGGAAAAUAACAUUCCAUGAUCCAUAAUUUUUAAAAAAAAUUAUUUUUUGUCUAAGCUUUUAUAUUUUGUUAUUCUAAAAACUUAUGUUAGUUGAGUUAGAAGUCCACUAGAAGUUUAAAAACUUUUUUUAUUAUUUAUUUGAUAUUUAUAUUUUAUUUUUAUUUUUUUGUCGAAGCUUUGUGAAUCCUAGAGAUGUGAGGCUAAAGGUCUAGAGGAAGAGAAAGUGCAAGGCUUUUUAAUUCCCCAUAGCUUUGGCUAGUUCUUAAUCACUUAGCAUUAUUUGCUUGCUUUAACUUCUAGUUAUUAGUUUGAUUUUCCUUUCAUUUUAUUUUUCUACUUCUAGUUUAAGUUUCUUCAAUGCUAUUUCAGUCUCGUAUAGAAUAAUGAACCCUAUAGGAUUUCCUAAUUGCAUCAGCCAUUGAUAAAGUUUAUGAUUGAAAUUGGUUAAAUUUAAAUCCUUAGCCUAGUCAGUAUAUCAAGGCUUAAAUGAAAAGAGCAUAAAAGGAUAUGUUCUAGUGCAUAUCUAGUCUCAUAUUAUUAUGUACUAAGAAGAUCUUGAAUACUUAUAUAAGACCAAACUGACUAACUUUUUGGAUAAAGUUCUCCAUCAUUUACACCCAACAACAUGCAAACCAACUCUAUCACAACACACCUCUUCCAGAAUGAACUAACUCAUCCUCAGUUAUGUAUAGCUAGGAAUAACAAAGCCAAAUUUAAAUUUGGUUAGCCAGGUCAAGUUUGUAAUAGGGAUGGAUUGGGUUAGCUUCGGAUAUAAAUUAUCUACUCUCAUUCUAAAUUGGUCGAGUAAUUAUAACCCUCACAUUAAUAAAGCUUGUCAUGAUUGCGAUUUUACAUGGAUAUAUGCAUGCAUGGAAGCAAAUGCUGACACAUGUAGAUACAUGCAAGCAUAUACUGACAGACCAAGUUCAACAAUGGAAGCCUAUACAUAGUCCCUGCUCAUAAAUCAAAAACUCUACAAUGUCUUAUGGAUACAACGCAUGUGGGAUAUCCAUGUUCUCUGCAGUCGAGAUCCGCAUGUCAUGGCCAUAAAAGCAAAUGACCUUUCCGUUCAGCAUAGCCUCACCAACUUUUUUGAUACAUCUCUUAUCUUGACCCAAAUCUAAGCGUUUCUAUUCAUUCUCUCUUUGGUGAAGUUGCCUCUGUUAUUUUCUACCUAUAUCUGGGCCAUAGUUGGGCUGGUCUUGGCCCGGAAAAUUUGGGCUUCAAACUAGGUCAGGUCAGGGCCCAGGCUCAAGUAAUAGAGUCAAAUUUGAUUGCCUAAGCUGUCCUCAAGGUAGACUGCAGAGUAUUGCAUAAUCUAUGUAUACCAUAUUAUAAUAUCAAACUUAGAGCAUUUCUUAGUCUAUGUAUCACAGAUUUUAUCCUUAAUACUCUUCAUCAAAUUCCAAACUUAGAACAUUCUCUCAGCUUCCCUUUAACUAGCUAUUAUGUGUGACCCAAACCCAACUAAUUGUUUGGGUCGGUAGGUUCUUUAUAAUGCUUGUAGUUGGGUUUGGUAUAUCAACAUGAACUAAAGUCAUGUUGAGUAUAGAUUAAAGGGAGAGUGCAAAUUAAUCCAACCAAAUCUGAGCCAAGGCUAACAAGGACUCUCCUCUCAACUUGGUCCAACCUAAAUUUGGUUCAUAUUUGUUUCAGUCUGAUCCAACUUUUCCCCAAUGCAAGCUCUAUUAAUUGGAUCUAAUGAGCCAAACUCAAACCAACCCAACUUGGAGAACUGUUAGGAUUAUAAAUUAUGGAUUUGGUCAUGUGCAGGUUGGGUUAAUCAAUGUCUAAUUUGGGUUAGGUUUAGACAUCAAGUUGGAUUUUGAUGAGCCUUAAAUUCCCUUGGAAAAAAAAAGAUCCAGCUCUUUACAGAAAACUUCUUUCACUCUUGCUACUUCACUGCAUGAGCAAGAUGAAAACUAUGAAAUCGCCCUGAAAUAACUUGACUAACAUCUUCCUUCCAACUUGCCAUUCAAUGAUCUACCAGCUAGAUCUUAACCUAGCUUGGAGUAAACUUUGACAAAGGAAAUCCACUUUCAUAGAAUAUAUGAUCUAAGCUGUAACAGAGUGAGAAAUGGAGAUGGGUA